AUCUUAAUUUAAUUCUAGUUUAAAUCCUAUUGAACUUCAUUAAAACUUUAGGCCAAAACUAAUUGAAUCUUAAAUCCUAAUAAAAUCCUAAAUCCUAAAUCAAACCCUAAACAAACCUUAAACCAAACCCCAACCAAAUCCUAAACUAAAUCCUAAAUCCUAAAUAAAAUCCUAACUAAAUCCUAAACCAAAUCCUAAUCCAAACCCUAAAUCCUAAACCAAAUUCUAUCCAAAUCCUAAACCCUUAAUAAAUCCUAACCAAACCCUAAUCCUAAACCCUUAAUAAAUCCUAACCAAACCCUAAUCCAAAUCCUAAAUCCUAAACAAAAUCCUAACCAAAUCCUAAAUCCUAAAUCCUAAUCAAAUCCUAAUCUUAAACCAAAUCCUAAUCCAAAUCCUAAAUCCUAAAUCCUAAAUCAAAUCCUAAUCCAAACCCUAAUCAAACCUUAAACCAAAUCCUAACCAAACCCUAACCAAACCCUAGUAAUUCCUAUAACAGAUUUAAACCUCAAUAAUUAAUUAAUAAACCGUUUAAACCUCAAUAAUUAAUUAAUAAACCGUUGAUCUUAACUCAAAUUUUUCACACUUCUUAAAAACAAAGUUCAAAACAAGCACAAAAAAAUUGAAAAAGAUCGAAGUCACCAAAUUGACGAUAAUCUCAAAAAUGUGCUCGGGUAUUGGUCGGUCUUCUUUUCCAAUGUGAUGCCAAUCUUCCAGAGCCAAUAUCUCUCUUUUACACUAUUUGAUUUAUUUCAAAAUUCUCAUAAACAUAGAAAAACAAGUUUAAUAUCCUCAUACUCAAGUUUCACUCCAAUCCAACUAAUAGAUUGCACAAAAUCUUAAAAAAUCCUACCAGACCUAAAAUUCUACUUUUUGAGACCUUGAUCCAGUUAAACCUCAAUAUUCCUCAAUUCAACCGUUAGAUCGAGCUCAAAUUCACAACAAAUACUAAACACAACUAUGAUCAUAAAUCUACAAAAUUCCAUCUGCAGAUCUACUACAAAACUCUUGAAAUCACCCAAAACAUAAACUCCAUUUUAUUUCAUAAAAUCCAAAUCAUCCGAAACAAAACUUUAUUUUGCAAAGUUUUUACAAAGUCAAUACAGAUCCAAAUCACCCAAAAUCAAUACCUAUAGAAACCCUAUUCAAUCUUCUAUCAAACCCCAUUCUUCGAUCUACCAAAGAGUCCCGGAGUCGUCGUCGAGACUUGGUUUUGUGCCUCAGGGUCUGAUUUCGACCCUGGUUCAUAACCGGCCCUCUCUGGGUAUCAACAUCUAGUUUUUUUUAAGUAAUUUUUUCUAGAGUUUACUAUUAACUUCUUCCUUAAGAUGUCUAUAUCAUUUAUUUUUCCAAUCUACCUUAUUUUGCCUUGUUUUUGGCCCUACAAAAUAAGUAGAAGCUAUUUUUUUUAAAAGGGCAGUAUUACUACUAAAAGUUUUACUACCUUCCUAUCUUUUAUCUACAUUUUUCUAUCUUUUCUUUUAACUUGGUACUUCUACAAUAAGAUCCAUAUUAUCAUCUUUCACCAUAUAGUCAUAUUACAACAUGACAACGAUGACUGGACUGGAAGUGCCUUCUAGAUAAUGAUGCCAUUCUUGAAAAGAAUCCAUAGUUGCAAGAAGUUCUUUGUCUUGGAUCUCAUAAUUGAUUUCUGCUGCUGAGAAUUUUCUUGAAUGAAAGGCUACUAGAUGAAGUUUGUCAUCUAUUCCCAUUUGUGAUAAAACCGCACCUAGAGCAAAGUUUGAUGCAUCUGUUUCUAUAAAGAAUACUUUGGAAAAAUUGACACGAUACAAGAUUGGUGAAGAAACAAACGCUGUCUUCAAAGUUUCAAACGCAACUUCUGCUUCUUUACAUUGGAGUUUGUCUUUACAAGUCAAACAUGUAAGUGGAGCUACAACUCGAGAGAAGUCUUUGAUGAAGAUCCGAUAGUAGUUGGCAAAUCCCAAAAAAUAUUGAACAUCUCUUACCAUUUUUGAAAUCUUCCAAUCUAUAAUAGUUUGAACUUUCUUAGGAUCCAUCAUAAGUCCAUCAUUUGAAAUGAUGUAACCUAAGAAAUCGACUUGAGUAGUGUGGAAUACAUACUUUUCUAUCUUGGCAUAGAAUCCUGCAUCUCUUAAUUUUUGUAACACAUGACGAACAUGAAGUUCAUGUUCUUUUGGAUUCUUAAAAUAGAUCAAGAUGUUGUGUAGAUAACAGACCAUAAAAUUGUCCAAAAACUCUCAAAAGAUAUCAUUCAUUAGAUGUUGAAAAGCUGUUGGUGUAUUUGUAAGUCCAAAAGGCAUGACGUUGUAUUCAAAAUGUCCAAACCUAGUUCAAAACGUAGUCUUCCAUUCAUCUCCUUCUUUGAUGCGUACUAGAUUGUAUGCUUCCCGGAGAUCUAUUUUUGUAUAGAUAUCAGCUUGAUUCAACUGAUCAAGAAGUCCAGAUAUUAAAAGUAGUGCAUACUUAUUCUUUAUGGUAAUCUUGUUGAGUCCUCAAUAAUCAACAUACAUCCACAAUGAUCCAUCUUUUUUCUUCACAAAUAGAAUUGGAACUCCUGCUGGAGAUUUUGAAUGGCAUAUGAAAUUUUGGGCUAGAUUUUCUUCAAUAUACUCCUUGAGUUCAGUCAACUCAUUUUGUAAUAAACUGUAGAUUGGUCCGAAUGGCAGUUGUGCUCCUUCUUGAAGGUCAAUUGAACAAUCAUAGGGACAAUAUUUUGAGAGUGUAUCCGCAUUCUUUUUUUUGAAUACAUCUUGAAAUUCUUGAUAUUGGCUUGGAAUGCCUCUUGAAGUCUUUCUACCAGUAGAAACAGGUGUGGCAUAAAUAAUAUAUGGUGAUUCUUUCAUAGCAGCAUGUAAGAAAGCUUUUGCACCUAUAAAUACGGGUUUAAUUGAACUAGACUUAUGACUCACUACUUGAUUAACUAUACUAUUAGUUAUACUUUUAGAGAAAGUAAGAGUUUGAGAAAUCCAAUCUAUUUGAGGGUUGUAUUUUUCUAACCACAAUAAACCUAAUAUGACUGGAUUAGAGGGAGAUCUAAUGAUAUUAAAUACUACAAAACUAUUAUGACUAUUGAUUAUUACUUCUAUAAGAAGGGUUUCCUGAGUAAUAUCUCCAGAAGAUAAUGGACGACUAUCAAUGACUUCUACAUGAAUAGGUUUAGUUUUCUUUACUAAAGAUAUGCUAUGUCUUUUAGUUAAUUCUUCAUCUUAAAAACACGAUGAGGCUCCUGAAUCUAAUAAGGCAGAGACUUUGUAAUGUUUAGGUCCUAAAAUAACAUUUAAUAUAAAACAAGGAGAGGGCUCUGAGGAGAGAAUAAGACCUUUACUAGAUGUUGUACAAGGUUCUAGUCACACGGUCCCUAUUAUAGCUGGACAAACUUGUUUUUUGACAUAUUGUCUUCUUUCACAGCCAUACUCCUCAUUUCGUGAUUGCGUCAUUGCUUUGGACAAUGUUGAGCAAUGUACUUUGGUUCUUCACAAUAUAAACAUAAUCCUUUUUGACGACGACAAGUCUUUUCUUGCUCAGUAAGAAGUUUGAAACAUAUUGCAUCAAUUUACAUAUCCUCUCCUUUCGAAUGUAUGUAUUAAAGAGGUAUUGGUGUUGCUAUUGAAUUAUAGUUACGUUGAGGUCUACUUGUACGGUUCUCAGAUCGAAAUUCAAAAAGACGGUUGUCGCACUUCACAGCAAAGUCAAUUGUUUGACUCAAUGUUUGAGGAUCAAGUAAGUUGAGCAUUAAUUUUUUUUACCUCAUAUUGUAAUCCGUAGAGAAAUUGGCUAAUAAGUGCAGCAUUAUCCCACUUGAUAUCAGUUAUAAGUUGUCAAAAUUGUGAAGCAUACAACAUUAUUGAUCGAUUGCCUUGUCAUAAAAUAUACAUCUUAUUGGUUGCAACACGAAUUGCAUCAUGUUCUCCAUACAUAGAUCGAAACUCUACCAAAAUUAUCCAAUAUUGGAUCUCGUCAUUCAAGAAAAGAUAAAAACCACGAUAGUGCUGAACCUGAAAGAAGCGUACCAAUGAAUCUAACUUGCAAUCCUGGAAUUGGAUAGCUUUGGGAUUGAAGUUCAAUCACAAGUUGCACUUGAUUGAUAAAGCGUCAAAACUUAGAUCUAAUGCUAUCAAACUUCUCGGAUAGGGUAAUUCUUGAUUCUCUAACACUGGAAGGACGUUCCACCAUAGGAGAAAGGAUAUGGUUUAGUGCCGAUGUUGAAGUAGCUCCAACCAUUUCUAUAUCUUCACUUCCUGCCAAUCUUUUUUCUUUUUGUGGUGAUAAAUUGAGUUGAUGCAUCGCAAGCAUUAACUCCCUCAAUUGCUCUUGCAUUUGUGCCAUUGCACUCUUCAUUUCAACAAGUUCUGCCUUGAUAACACUUACAAAAGAGAAGAUGUCAAAUAUCGCUCAAGACAAAUAGAAGAGAGGACUUGAAAAUAAAGAAAAUACUAAGGACAAUAUCAAUUUAGAAGGGGGUAAUCCAUAACUUCUAAUAUGCUUAUAUCUUAUGAAGAAAAAGGGAUAAUCCACUCUUAAUCAAGAUUAGACAAAGCUCUGAUAUUGUAGGUGUAUUCUUGUCAAUCUGUCAAGGACAAGAAUUCGAUAAAAAAGUAAUUCAAACAAGUGAGCCUUCACUCAAAGAAAAGUAACAAAAUAUAAAUAAAGAAGUAUGUAUAUUGAAAGAGAAAUUAGAAUGGCUAUUGCCAAAAGACAAGAAAACUAGAGACCCUUGAAACUAGACUGGAAGCAAGAAAGGAGUUGACAAGAGUGAAGAGGGCUUCACUCUUCUCUCUAUAUAUACUAUCUAACUAGGGGCUACGUGACAACAUUCUAUAGGACCUCCAAUAUAUGUUGACUUUGUAGGACACAUGCCUUCACUUACAAGGUAAGUUUUUCUACAUGUGGGCCACAUAGUUAGCUUGAUCUUUAAGCUAACAACAUGUGUGGCAUAUGGCUAACUUGUUGACCACGUUUCUAAUCCAAAAAUCAAUUAAAGACACCUAUAAAGUCAAAGCAGUAUCUAUGAAGCUUCUAGGAAGCUUCCAUAUUAAAUACUAUAGACUUAACUUAUUUUUAUCUACUAUUACUUACUUCCACCUAUUAGUAUAUGUAAUUACUAGCUUACAUUAGUAUGUUCGUGACAUGAGGUUAGGUUAGUGGACCAAGUAGGAUCUAUCGUGGAAUAUUCUAAAAAGAAUUUAGGAUAAUUAUUUAGUUAAUGCCUACCAUAAAAUCUUCUAAAAAAGGCUUGAAGUGGUUAUUUAGAUAGGAUCCACUACCUAAGAACAUUCUAGAAAGUCCAAGGUGGUAAGAUAAGAUAUAAAUAGGACUAGCCAAGGCCUUUUGAGGCAUCUGGUUAGAUAUAACCUUUUUUGUGAAUAAAAUUUGGUUCUGCUUCUUUUUGUUCAAAUCUAUUUUGUUAUAUUUUUAUUUAGUCAAUUUUGUCUUUCAUGUCAUAUUCUGUUUAGUUCCAUUCAAUUUUGUUCUGGUCUAUUUUGUCCUAUUUUAUAAUGAAGCUUUAUAUUGUUGUGGAUUAGAAUGAUCUUGGAUUUUUGAAAUAGUCUAAUCAUGUUUAAAUUUAACUAUGAAUGGUAAUUUUGUGAAGUCUUGUGAUCAUUCUUGCCAUCAUAAUUUUGAUGAUUAGGUCUCAAUAAUAAGUAAAUUCUACACAUAUAGAUAGCAGAGUUGUAUAAUAACAUAACCAUUAAGUGAAAGAAAAAAGAAAAUAUUUUAUUAUAGAAGAUCUUAAUUAAAAAGAUAUAAUAGAAAAACAUAAAUAAAAGUUAGGCAGGUAAUAAAACCUUGUAGUGUUAAAAGUGCCUUUUAUGAAAUAGAUUCUAUUAAUUUAAUAUAGUCGUAAAUAAGAAAAAAUAAGGUAGAUUAAAUUUUUUUUAUAUAUAUAUAUAUAUAUAUUUGUUAAAGUUAAAAGUUGCUUUUACCAAAAAGUACCUCAAGAAUACAAGAAUUGAUACUUAAAUAGAAUCGAUUGCCAACCAGGUUCAAAAUCAGACUCCAAAGUACAAAAUUAAAUACUUAUACUAUUCUUUGGCAAAUCAAAGAAUAAGGUCUGAAAGCUAAUCAGAUUAGGCCUCUUUAAGCUUUAAUAUUGAAGGAUUUAAAUUUUAAUGAUUUUAUAAGAGCUUUGCAAAAUCAUGGUUAUUUUAGAUGAUUCUAGGUUUAUGAAAUAAAAUAUAAUUGAUAUUUUGGACAAUUUUAUGAAUUUUGUAAUAUAUCUAUAAGUAAAAUUUUGAAAAUUUGUGAUUAUAUUUGUGCUUCAUGUUUAUUAUGAAUUUGAAUUUAAUUGAAUAGUUAGAUUCAAGGUUAUUGAAGUUCAAAUAGAUUAAAGUCUCAAAAAUUGGAGUAUAAAUGUUAGUGAGAGUUUUUAAGAUCUUUAGUAAUUUGCCAAUUGGAUCAAAGUUUUUUUUUUUUUUUUUUUUUUGUAAAUAGUAGACUUGAUUUCCAAAAAAUUUGCAAAUUUUGACAGCAAUUCAAUAUUUUAAAAAGAAGAUAUUGGUACUCAAAGUUUGGCAUUAAGAUUGGAGAUAGAAGCUGCCCAACUUUCAAAUAGAUUAUCUUUUAUUUCUUUGAUUUAGUAAGUAUGAUUGAUCUCAUUUUUCUUGUGCAUGUUUCUAACCAAGUUAUUGGGAAGUGUACCUAAUUUGAAUUGAUAUCAACAAGUUGAUCAUUUAUUGUUGAGGUUUCAAUCUAUUAUAGAGAUUAUUAAGAAUUAGAUUAGGAUUUAGGAUUUGAUUAAGAUUUGGUUAAAAUUUAAUUAGUAUUUCAUCAAUAUUUGGUCUAAAUUUUAGUUAGAAAUUAAGAACUAAUUUAGGAUUUGCUUAAGAUUUCAUUAGGAUUUGGCAUAAAUUUUGCUUAAGGUUUGGUAUGGAUUUGAUUAAAGUUGGUUUAGGGCUUCAUUAGGAUUAGAUAAGGAUUUGAUCUAAGAUUUGGGUAAGAUUUUAUUAGGAUUAGUUUAGAAUUUUAUUAAGUUUUAUUAAAGAUUAUAUUAGGAUUUAAUUAUGAUUCAAUUAAAAAAUUUAUUUUUAACAUUUCUUUAAGAUUUUUUGAUAUUUUUUAAAUAUUUAUUAUAUAUAUAUAUUAUAUAUAUAUUUUAUAUAUAAAUAUUUUUUAUAUAUAUAUUUUUUAUAUAUAUUUUUUUUAUAUAUAUUUUUUUUAUAUAUAUUUUUUAAGUUAAUUUAUGAUUUCUUCAUAUUCUUUUGUAAAUUUUUAAAAAUUCUUUUGGAAUUUAAUUGAAGAUUGAUUAGCAUUUUUAUAAUUUAAUUGGAGUUUAUUUAAGUUUCUAUUAGAGUUUUUAAGAUCUCUUAGUUGCAAGUUCUAUUUUACUUUCUACAAUCAGGUGCUUGAUGCAUUUUGAAAUAAACUUCAUGAAAUAUUAUUGAAAAAAGAGAAGUUAGAAGCUACAAUAUUUAACAUCAGCAAGGUUGUACAAAAAGUGAAGUAUGGAGUAAGAUGACUCUCACUUCCAAUACUCUUUAUUUAUAGCUAGAAUUUACAUCCAUUAUAGAUGAGCUUUAUCUACAAUUGUUUUCAUCCUUCUUUCUUAUAUCUAAUUAAAUCCUAGAUUCCUCGUAAUUUAACUGCUACAUAAAAUCCUAGCUGCCACCAUAGUAACAUAUUUUAAUCCUUUGAUAUCUUUUGACUAUAAGCAACUUACUAUGGUUUUAUUCUAUUUCAUGGCAACUAUGCAAGAACUUGCUAAUUUUCAAUAUUUUGACUUUGCUAAUUGAUAAAAGGCUUUUAAGCCUAAUGCCUUUAUGAACUUGUGGUAUCUAUCCUUUAUCAAUGCUUUUGUAAGAACAUCAAUAAGCAUAUCUUUUGUAGUACAAUACUUCAUAUCAAUUACUCCAUUUUCAAUUUUUUCUUAUAUGAAAUGAUGCUAAACAUCAAUCUAUUUGGUUUUUGAAUAAUACUCUGAAUUCUUAACAAAUGCAAAACAUCCUUGAUUAUCACACAUUAUUGGAAUUGCUUCUAAUUGCACUAGUUCAAUAUCUUCUAAGAGUUGACUUAUCCAAUAUGCUUCUAUUGCACAAUGACUUACUACCAUGUAUUUAGCUUCUAUGAUUGAUCUUGCAAUAAUAGGUUGUCUCUUAUAAUUCCAUGAAUUGACUCUGACUCUAAUAAAGAAUACAUAUUUUAUUGUGGAUCUUCUAAAAUUUGCAUCUUGAGUCUAAUCUGCAUUAUAAUAUCCUUGCAAAUCAAUGUUUUUACUACCAAAGCAUAAUUUAAAGUUCUUUAUAUCUUUCAAAUACCUCAAUAUCUAUUUUAUCAUUGUCCAAUGCAAAGGUCUUGCCUUAGAUAUGUGUUGGCUCACAAUACUCACAUUAAAUAUAAGAUCCACUUUGUGGCCACUAUUAUAUAUAUAAGUGAACCUACUGCUACUUUUUAUAAAAUACUUUCGAUCUCACCUUUAAAUCAUGCAUACUCUUCAUCCGUGAGCUUCAUCAACUUCAAAUUGGCAUCCAAAGGUGUUCCAAUGGCCUUGCAUUCCUCCAUAUUAAAUCGUUUUAAUACUUCUUCAAUAUACUUGGAUUGAUUCAUUAUAAUAGUCUUAUUGCCACGAUCUCUUACAAUCUUUACUCUUAAGUAAUAGUGGAGCUCUUUCAAAUCACUCAUUUCAUAUUUAUUAUUUAAUAUGGCCUUCAUCCAAUCUAUCUUUUCUAUAUUAUUAGCUAAAAUGAUCAAAUCAUCAAUUAAAGAUUACAAUCAAUAAGAAUUCUUUAAAUUACAUCAUAUAUAGUAAAUGGUCAACUCUAAUCAUAUAAACCCUAAACCCUAAACCCUAAACCCUAAACCCUAAACCCUAAACCCUAAACAAGAACUCGAUGAACAAACAAUCCAAACAAGUGAGCCUUCACUCAAAGAAAAGUAACAAAAUAUAAAUAAAUAAGUAUGUAUAUUGAAAGAGAAACUGGAAUGACUAUUGCCAAAAGACAAGAAAACUAGAGACCCUUGAAACUAGACUGGAAGCAAGAAAGGAGUUGACAAGAGUGAAGAGGGCUUCACUCUUAUCUCUAUAUAUAGUAUCUAACUAGGGGCUACGUGGUGACAUUCUAUAGGACCUCCAAUAUGUGUUGACUUUGUAGGACACAUGCCUUGACUUACAAGGCAAGUUUUUCUACAUGUGGGCCACAUAGUUAGCUUGAUCUUUAAGCUAACAACAUGUGUAGCACAUCGCUAACUUGUUGACCACGUUUCUAAUCCAAAAAAUCAAUUAAAGACACCUAUGAAGUCAAAGCAACAUCUAUAAAGCUUCUAGAAAGCUUCUAAAUUAAAUACUAUAGACUUAACUUACUUUUUCCUACUUUUAUUUACUUCCACCUAUUUGUAUAUGUAAUUAUUAGCUUACAUGAGUAUACCCGUGACAUUACCCUUCUUUCUAGGGACGAGUUCUACGAGGAGCGGUCAUCAUAUGUUGAGAAAAUCUAUGAUGCGACAAAUUGUAUUCGCCACAUACUCUAAUCUUUGUUCUCUUCGAAGAUGAUUGAUAGGGCCUCUCAACCAUCAGUAGUGUCCCAUACCAGGGCGGGAAGACCACCCAGUUAUUUGAUCAUUGUUGAGGCCUUCAUAACUUCUUUCGAAUAAAACAUUUGAAACACCAUCAGGAGUUGUUCCUAUCUCUAGCAAAAUCACCAAACAUCGCGAGUCCCUUCCCAAAUCAUGAUACCAAAUGCGUUGUAUCUCGCCAUCUAUUCAAAGAAGAACAUGUCAUUCUUAAAGAUCUUCAUCUCGAUUGCGUCGUCUUGAAGGUUGUGACAAUCGUAAUGUCUCAUUCGGUAGGUCAGUAAAUGAAGGCUCUUGAGUCGAAUCCAUUGGUUGUUGGUUCUCCAUCUUCUGAAUGUCACAACUACAAAGAAGCUACGAACAAGGAUUGAAAGUAGAAUGUUAUCUUGCCUAGAUGUUGUUUCUUUUAUAAAGAAGGUUUUCAUCUUGAUUUUAAUAGAUGUCGUGGAUGAAAAGCCUCCAUCGCCUUUGUUGCAUUUACAAGAUUCUUUAUUGGCUCCCAUGUGCGUUCACUAAUAUCAUAUCUGUACCAAUGGACAAGAUAUUCUAAUUUAUUUCGGCGCCACCUUGAAUCUAAGACUUCUUCUACUUCAAAUUCUUCAUUAUUGUCUACUUCUAUAGGAGAAAGUAGAGCUUGUCAUCUUCUUCGUAUGUCCACUGUCUUGUAUGGUUCAAGAAGAGACACGUAGAAUAUUGGAUGGAUUUUCAUUGACUCCGGUAGAUGUAAACAAUAUGCAACUGGAUUGAUUUGUGCAGAAAUAGAAAAUGGUCCCAGCCUUCGAUGGUCCAACUUGUCACAAGGACGAGUGGUCUUGAUAUUGCGACGAAGUAGCCAUACCUUAUCACCCAAGAAGAAUGGUAGUUGUUCCUUUUGAUAGACAUGCGCAUUGACCUUUUGUUGUUCUUGAGCCUCUUUUAAUUGCGCCUUCAUCGUUGAAUGUAGCUCUGAUAAAAUAAAUCGCCAAAUCUUUUGAAACAAGAUUAUCAACUUUUAAAAAGUCAAAAGUAUCAAGUCGUAGAUGAUAACCAUAAUUAGCAAAGAAAGGUGUUUGUUUUGUAGAAGAAUGUAUCGUAUUAUUGUAAGCAAACUCUGCCAAUGGUAAAAAAGUUGUUCAAUCAUCUUGUUGGUAGUUAAUGGUACAUCUUAAAUAUUGCUCCAAAACUUGAUUAACACGCUCUGUUUGUCCAUCAGUUUGAGGAUGGAAUGCCAAAGAUAGUUUUAUAUCCACUUUAAGAAUCUUGAAAUGAGUCCGCCAAAAUCUUGAUACAAAUUGAUUUCUCAUAUCUGAUAUAAUAUCUUUGGAUAAUCCAUGAUAGCGAUAGAUAUUGUCAAGAAAGAGCUUAGCUGUUUCUUCACCUAUGAUAGAUUUUGUACAUGGUACAAAAUGUGCCAUCUUGGUAAAAUGAUCUACUAUCACGAAUAUAGAGUCAUAAGAACCUGAGAUUGGAAGAUCCGUGAUGAAGUCCAUAGAAACAGAAGACCAUGGUUGUUUUGGAAUGGAUAAUGGCUAAAUAAGUCCAAAAGGUUGAUGACGAGGAGUUUUUGAUCUUGAGUAAACAUCACAUGAUUGUACAAAAUCUUUGAUUGCCUUCCACAUUUGAAGCCACCAAAAAUCCCUAGAUAUCAGCUUCAAAGUCUUAUUAUAUCCAAAAUAUCCUACUGCUAAGAAGUCGUGAGAAGCUUGAAGAAUACGUAAACGUGCUUCUCCUCCUGGAACAUAUAGGCAUCUUUCGAAAUAGAGUAGGUUGUUCUUGAAUUCAAAUUUAGAGGGAUCAUGAGAUUUAGAAGAAUUAUUCUUGAUAUCAUGAACAAGAGGGUCUAAAGACAUACUUAACUGGACUUGCUUAAGAAAAGUUAGAUCAACAGUCAAUGUUGAUUUUAUUGCUCAAAGAUGAAAUUGCUCCGGCUUCAAGAGAACCGUUCUUUGUUGCUCAAAAGCUGCAUCUCCUUCUUUUGGUACAAGAUGAGAACGUCCAGAUAAGGCAUCGGACAAACCUUGUUGUUUUCCUGGCCGAUAAGUGAUGAUGAACUCGAAUCUUCCAAUACUCUCAAUUAUGGAAGGUAGAAAAAUUGACAUUGGAGUUGAACGAAGUUGAUCUAUUUCUUCAAGCUACUGAUGGAGAAUUGCAAGGGAAAUUGGAGCUCCUUCUUGAAGACAAAGAAGAAGAUGAAGGAUUGAAAACAAAGUGGAAGAAUGUUGAAGAUGCGGUGGAGUUGCUUACAAAAAGAGAAAGGAGGAAGGAUAGGAGUAAUAUUCCGAAAACAGUACAAGCACUCAAAGCUCAGUACGUACAACACCACCAACAAUGCCUACAGUUCAACCUUCGACAUUCUUAUCAAAGAAAGUAGAUAUGGGGAUAGAAGAAAUUAUACGAGGAAUGCGAGAUCUUCAAAUCAAAUUGGCAAGAAUUGAAGAAAAUACUUCUACAAACAAUUUGAAGAAUGUUUCAAAACAAGGAUAUGUACAAAGAUGCAUUUGGUGUAAUGAUGCUUCACAUACUAGGAAAGAUUGCAAUGAAUUUAAUAAUAUGAUACAGCAAGAAAUUAUUUGCUAAAAGAUGGAAAGAUAGCAUUAAAAGAUAGGGAGGAUCUUCUUCAAACCAAUUUUGGCAAAGGAAGAAUGAGAGCAUUGGUUCAAGAUUACUUAAAAGAGCAUGAAACAGCAUUACGAGAAAGUGCAAGUUAUGGUGCUAGAGUAGAUGAUGACCUUGGUGGAAGUACGAAAAUUAGUGAGUUUUGGACUUCUGCCAUUUCUACAAUGCAAGAAGGGAAAUUUCCUUGAGAAACAUUAUUGAGGACUACAGCUACAAUAUGAGGUGCAAGAGGUUGGAAGGAUCCUAUUGAGUCUCUUUCAGUUCAUGCAUAUAUUGUUAAGAGCCAACAUGAAGCUUUGAUGGAAGAAAAGAAACAAGGAAAUUUUGAUGAUACGAGAGAAGGAAAUUCUUCUAAGAAGCAAACUCGAGGAGACAAGGCUCGGGAGGCAGCUUCAUAAGAAUUACCUAUAAAGGAUACCUCAACAUCAUUGGAAGAAAAAACAAAGGAGACAAAAGAUAAGGGCAAAUCAAUUGCUUAUAAGCUACUUUCUGACAUUGAAGCGGCAACAAAUUUGAAAGGGGUAUUGGAAGAACGUAUAUUAAAUGCUAAGGUGGAAUUCACAUUGAAAGAAGUUUUAGAAAUUGUAAAGAAGGAGUUUCAUGAUGUUAUCAUUGACAGUAUUAAGCAAAAGAGGCAAUUAAUGGACAAAAUUGGAAUGAAUCAUGCUAUUGAUGCAAAAAUAUAUAAAGAUGAAGAAGAGGUUGAUAUUGGUUACAAGCAACCAACAAAUGAAAAGAAUGGGUAUAAUCAACGAGUACGUUUCAAAGAUUAUAGUGACAAGGAAAUGGAAACUUUGAGCCAUUAUAUUCGAAAGGAUUGGGCAAGGGCAACUACUGAGGUAUUGGUGAAAGUAGGAGAUAUAGAAGAACGAAUUGUUGCUUUAGUCGACUAUGGUUCUGAAAUAAAUCUUAUGUCUAAAGAUCUUUAUAAGAAGCAAAAAUGGCCAAUUGAUAUGGAACAUGGAUGGACAAUACGAGCAGCUAAUAACACACAGGGCGAAUUAUAUGGAGCUUAUCCAGAUGUCAAAAUUAGGAUUGGAGAUGUUGCAACGGAGGAACAUUUCUUUGUUAAGAUAGAACGUCUUAUUCAUUGAUUUUAGGACAACCUUAUAUUACAGCAACACGGAUGGAAAUAAAAGUAUUUGAUGAUGGUUCUGCUUAUGCAAGAGUACGUAGCGAAGAUGGGAGGAAAGCUGUACAAUUUCUAAUAGUACCUCCUAACCGUGAACAGAAUCGAGAUAGGUUGAGGGAGAAACCAUUGCCAAAGAUUGUUGAAGGAUUUAAGGAUUUUGGAGAGGUACCACUAUAAAGCGAGAUUAUGGAGGUACAAAAGAGGAGGUACUCUCGCGAGAUGAAGGUACCUUUGAUGUGAGUUUUAUUGAUAUUUUGGAGAAUGGAAAUAUUAUGUAUAAGAAAGUUGAUGAUUUUAAAAGAAAAGAAAGAAAAAUAUUAUAUAAUAUUGAAGGAAAAUUAUGCAAGUUAGGUACAUUGCAAGAUAAUGAUAGGAUUUUAGGUGUUAAUGAAGAAAAUGGACUAGAAGAUUCAUUGGAAUUGAUUAAAUCUAUUGGAUUAGGAGAUAAUGAUAAAAUUGUUGAGAUUCAUUCAAGAGAGGUUUAUACCAUACUUGAAUCUUUUCAAGCACCAGAAGUCAAUGUAGAGACGAGAUAUAAAAUGGCAGAUAAGAAGAUAAAGUCUGUUGCGGGACCAUUACCAAAAGAUUCUAAGGAACAAAUGGGAGAAGCAUCAAAAGAAGCAAGUUAAAGAAAUCCAAUGAGUAUUGGACAUCAGUUUAUUAAAGAGACUUUUGAAGAAUUGAAGAUUGGUUCUGAUGGUUCUUUAUUGCUGGAGGAAAUUACUUGCUUCAGAAAGAUGUUGGCUAAACAAGAUAGAUCGUUUGCCUUUGAAUCUUAUGAAAUUGGGUGUGUGGAUUCGAAUAAUAUAACACCUAUGGUUAUCUUCACUGUACCGUAUGUACCUUGGAAUCUAAGAUGGAUUCCAGUACCGAGGGCACAUUUACCUAAAUUGGUGGAACUAUUAAAAGAAAAGAUGAAGAUGAAAAUAUUGGAACCCUUAUUUGUGUCGUAUUCUAGUCGAUGGUUUACGGUACCUAAGAAGAAUGGAUCACUAUGGUUUAUUCAAGAUAUGCAAUCGGUGAAUGUAGUAACUGUCAGUAAUGCAGGAAUUGGGCCUAUUGUAGAUGAAUUUGCUGAGGUAUUUACAAGAAGGGCGAUCUAUUCAAUGGGUGACUUGUAUUCAGGUUAUGAUCAAUUUCAACUUGUCGAAGGAAGUAGAGAUAUGACAACGAUGAGGACACCACUUGGAUUGGUUAGAAUGUGCACUCUUCCUCAAGGCACGACCAACUCAGGUAAGCAUAUGAUGAAUGUGAUGAAUAAGGUAUUCUGGAGAAGACUAUGCCUUUUCUGGAUGAUGUUCCUAUAAAAGGGUGCAUGGAAGAGAGUGAAAUUGUUUAAACAUAGAUAUGCAGAAAUAAAUAUAAAAGACCUUAAUGAAGAUAUAGAUAUUCUACUGGAGAAAGGUGAAAUUGUUUUGGAUAGCAAAGACGCUAGAGAUGGACUAGAUGAAGAUUUGGAGAACAUAUUAUGAAUCAAAUGGCAAAUAGGUUAAUUGAUGCAUACCGGAAGAUGCACAUGUUCAGAGGGGGUGGAUGUCGUAUUAUAACAUGAAUAUACCGUGAAAAUAUAAAGAAAGGGGACUUUUAUUAAUGUUCAGUUUUCUCGAAUAUUGGAAGUAACGACCGAUUUCAGUGCCAAUAUUCAAGGGCCAGUUCAGAUACCCUGUCACAGUCGGUCAGGGCAUACUUACCAGUAACGAAAUGCUCCAUUCGAGUCCAAUAGUGGGAGUCAACAGAAUCGAAAGGACUAAAUCAAUGAUUGAGCGAGCCUAAUACGAAGGACCAAUUUGACCCAAUUACGGGAACAUCCAAGUCUUACUACGGGCCUCUUAGCCAAUAUGAGACCUAAUUUGGUCGGGCGAUUUAAUGUGGUCCUGAUUACGGGGGUUUUGAUUCGGUUUUAGACUGUCCUAUUCUCUGUGCCGUUUCAAGGAAUGUUAUUUCUAGAAAAAGAAUCUUUUAAAAGGCAAAAAAUGGAGGAGGCUCUGACGGCGGAGCCAAUUGCAGAUCCAAGACGGAAGAUUGAAGAAAUUCAGAGGCUAGGGUUUGAGAGGAGGAGAGAAAAAAACAUUCGGAAAUGGUUAGGGUGGAGGAGAGGAUUCAGAGAUUCGGGAAUUAGGGAGGUUGAGAAAAAGAGAGGAUACAAGGUUUUUGGGUAGGGGUCAAAAAAGGGACUUCUGGCGAUCAAUGCUGAAAGGACGAUGUGUUGUACUAGUGAAUCAAGGUUUUAAUGAAGUGGGUGUGAUUAUUCUUGACUGUUUUGUGAAAUCGAAGUUAUGUCUGUGAUUGAAGAAUUAAAAGGGUGUCUAUAGGAUUGCGUAUGCGGAGUGAAUGAAAUUUUUUUGGGUUAAUCUAACAAGAUAGUGAAUGGAUACAAGGUCGUGAGUAUAAAGUGGUAUCGAAGAUUAGCAGAUUGGGUUGUUUGAGGUUCUCUAUAACGUCUAGAGACCUAUCAGCUGGGGCAAAAAGGAUUUUGGCGAGCAGUUGAAGGACAUCCGUAUAGAUUUAUGGUAUAUUCUUACAAUCAUUUAUAUUCCAAGACUUAAAAACUGAUAAACUGGUUGAAUAUUAACGAAUCUCUAUACUACCUCCUACAGCCAGAUGGCUGGUGCAUUCUCGAGCAGGAAAGCACAUAAUACGACAACGAUAAACCUAAAAUGACUGGAUUAGAGGGAGAUCUAAUGAUAUUAAAUACUACAAAACUAUUAUGACCAUUGAUUAUUACUUCUAUAGAAAGGAUUUCGUGAGUAAUAUCUCUAGAAGACAAUGGAGGAUCAUGUAUGACUUCUACAUGAACAGGUUUAGUUUUCUUUACUAAAGAUAUCCUAUGUAUUUUAAUAAAUUCUUCAUCUUAAAAACACGCUGAGGCUCCCAAAUCUAACAAGGCAGAGACUUUGUAAUGUUUAGGUCCUAAAAUAACAUUUAAUAUAAAACAAGAAGAGGGCUCUGAGGAGAGAAUAAGACCUUUACUAGAUGUUGUGUAAGAUUCCAGCUGCACGGUCCGUAUUGUAGCUGGACAAACUCGUUUUCCGACAUAUUGUCUUCUUUUACAGCCAUACUCCUCAUUUUGUGAUUGCGUCAUUUCUUGGAACAAUGUUGAGCAGUGUGCUUUGGUUCUCCACAAUAUAAACAUAAUCUUUUUUGACGACGGCGAGUCUUUUCUUGCUCAGUAAGAAGUUUGAAACAUACUGCAUCAAUUUAUAUAUCCUCUCCUUUUGAAUGUAUGUAUUGAAGAGGUAUUGGUGUUGCUAUUGAAUUAUAGUUACGUUGAGGUCUACUUGUACGGUUCUCAGAUCGGAAUUCAAAAAGACGGUUGUCGCACUUCACAGCAAAGUCAAUUGUUUGACUCAAUGUUUGAGGAUUAAGUAAGUUGAGCAUUAAUUUUUUUACCUCAUAUUGUAAUCCGUAGAAAAAUUGGCUAAUAAGUGCAGCAUUAUCCCACUUGAUAUCAGUUACAAGUUGUCAAAAUUGUGAAGCAUACAACAUUAUUGAUCGAUUGUCUUGUCAUAAAAUAUACAUCUUAUUGGUUGCAACACGAAUUGCAUCAUGUUCUCCAUACAUGGAUCGAAACUCCACCAGAAAAGCUUCUAGAUUAUCUAAUAUUGGAUCUCGUCAUUCAAGAAAAGAUAAAAAUGACAAUAGUGCUGAACCUGAAAGAAGCGUACUAAUGAAUCUAACUUGCGAUCCUAAAGUUAGAUAACUUUGGAGUUGAAGUUCAAUCACAAGUUGUACUUGAUUGAUAAAUCCUCAAAACUUAGAUCUGAUGCCAUCAAACUUCUGGGAUAGGACAAUUCUUGGUUCUCUAAUACUGGAAGGGCGUUCCACUAUAGGAGAAAAGAUAUGGUUUGGUGCAGAUGUUGAAGUAGCUCCAACCAUUUCUAUAUCUUCACUUCCUAUCAAUCUUGUUGCUCCUUGUGGUGAUAAAUUGAGUUGAUGCAUCGCAAGUAUUAACUUCCUCAAUUGCUCUUGCAUUUGUGCCAUUGCAUUCUUCAUUUCAACAAGUGUUGCCAUGAUAAUAUUUAGAAAAGAGAAGAUGUCUAAUAUUACUCAAGACAAAUAGAAGAGAGGACUUGAGAAUAAAGAAAAUACUAAGGACAAUAUCAGUUUAGAAGAGGGUAAUCCAUAACUUCUAAUAUGCUUAUAUCUUACCAAGAAAAAGGGGUAAUCCACUCUUAAUCAAGAUUAGACAAAGCUUUGAUAUUGUAGGUGUACUCUUGUCAAUCUGGCAAGGACAAGAACUCGAUGAAAAAAUAAUUCAGACAAGUGAGCCUUCACUCAAAGAAAGGUAACAAAAUAUAAAUAAAGGAGUAUGUAUAUUGAAAGAGAAACUAGAAUGGGUAUUGCCAAAAGACAAGAAAACUAGAGACCCUUGAAACUAGACUGGAAGCAAGAAAGGAGUUGACAAGAGUGAAGAAGGCUUCACUCUUGUCUCUAUAUAUACUAUCUAAUUAGGAGCUACGUGGUGACAUUCUAUAGGACCUCCAAUAUGUGUUGACUUUGUAGGACACAUGCCUUGACUUACAAGGCAAGUUUUUCUACGUGUAGGCCAUAUAGUUAGCUUGAUCUUCAAGUUAACAACAUGUGUGGUACAUGGCCAACUUAUUGACCACGUUUCUAAUCCAAAAAGUCAAUUAAAGACAUCUAUGAAGUCAAAGAAAUAUUUAUGGAGCUUUUAAGAAGCUUCCAUAUUAAAUACUAUAGAAUUAACUUACUUUUAUCUAUUUUUAUUUACUUCUACCUAUUUUUAUAUGUAAUUACUAACUUACAUGAGUAUGUCCAUGACAAAUGGUCCUGAUGGUAGUGAAUUUGAUAAUAGGUGCAUAAGUCUCAUUGAAGUCAAUACUAAUAAUUUGUCAAUAUCUUUUGGCAACUAAUCUUGCAUUAUGCCUCACCUCCACACCCAUUGCAUUUAUUUUAGUCUUAAACAACUCCUUACAACCAACAUUAGAUCAAUUUGUAGAAAGAAGUAUCAAUUCUAAUAUAUCAUUUUUUAUAAGAAAUUGAUGCUCUUUUUUUAUAGCCUUCUUCCACUUGAUUGCAUUUGGAGACUUUAUAGUAUUACACAAAGAAAAUGAAUCAACAAAGAAAGUAACAUUUGUAUGUUCUUCAUUUACCUUAGCAAAGAUGUGAUUCUUCCACUAUUUGCCAUGAGAUUUUUUUUCUCUCAAAGGAUAUCUUCUUUCAUUUGAAAAAGAUUCAGCUUGUUGUACUCCAAGCUCUCUUUUAAGCUUCUCCUCUCUUAAAACUUGUCUUUUUUUAUUUAAAGGUUGAUACUCUUCAUCAUCAUCAUUAUCACAAACUAAAAAAAUAUUGGUAUUUUUUUGAACAAUUAUCAAUCUUGUCGCCAAAUUUUCUACAAUAUAAGCAUAGGCCAAGUUUCCUUUGAUACAAGCAGAGAUUUGAAGCAAACUGCAUCAAUUAGCAUAUCUUCUUUUGUUGAUGUAUAUUCCAUCAUCACUAUCACAAACCCAAAAAGAUCUUGUACUCUUUGCUUUCUACUUCUUUUUAUUAUUUUAUUAUACAUGUACAAUUAGGAGUCACAAAACUAGAGUGUCAUGUAUUACUUGACUUUAGAGCCUUUAGAUGUUUUAUUGACAAAGAAUUUUCUAAAUCACAAAAAAUUUAUUUGGUCAAAAAAUCCAAAGCUGUACAUAUAGAAGUAAUAGAUGGUCGACCUUUAUCCUUUGCAGAUGUCACUUAUGAGAUGAUUGUAUUAGAAAUAAUCUUUGAUGAUCAUAGUAGCUAAGUAGUAUUCAAUGUCAUUAGAUCACCAUCAAGUCUAAUCAUUUUAGGACUUUCAUGCUUUAAAAAAUUCAAUCCAAGGAUAAAUUGGAUAUUCCAAAAGUUAAAAUUUUUUCUAGUAGAUCAUAGAAUCCUUAGAUCUAUAAAAAAGCUUCUAUUACUUCAUAAAUUAAAAAUUAAAUAAUAUUUAUUUAUUAGAGCUAGAACACUUGUGAAGGCGACCAAACAGGGUACUACAUUGUCGGGAUAGAGAGAAUUUGCCUCAAAAAAACGCCGGGCUUUUGGCUAUCAUUAAUUAUUUAAUGAAGCUUCAAAAUAGAAGAAGCCCUAAUUUUAUAUAAUUUUUUUUUUUUGAGCAAUUACACUAAGUACAUAAGCUUCAAAUAACCAACAAUACUCAAAAUAUGAUAAAAUCCUCUGAAACCUUGUAUAUCCUUGUGUGGAAUUUUUUUCAAAUUUCAACACCUCAUAUCUCCUAAUUCGACCAUCCAAAAACACUCAAAUUUUACAUGAGCUAUUGAUGUAUUCUUAUUAAUUUUUACAAUAAAUUUCAAUUACAAAUUCAUUGCAGAUCUUGAGAUAGCUUAAAAAUCCUAAUAGUCACUUUAAACCCUUGUCUUUAUACAUCUACAUUAUUGUAAUACAUGAAGUCUUGCUUGAGAAUGCUCCACGCACCUCGUUGUGAAAGGUAGAAUGGAAAUUGCAACAACAAAAUCCUAAUUCUAAUAGAACACUAAUAAUGCUAAAUAAGCUUUAAUCAAAUUCAGAGAAAUCUCAAAAGAAUUUCAAAAAAACAAUAAAAAAACUUAAAGAAAUAUUAGAACGAUUACAAACAUAUCUCAAAUACAUUUUAAUUCAAUCUUAAUUUAAUCCUAGUUGAAAUCUUAUUAGACUUCAUUCAAACUUUAGGCCAAAAAUUAACUAAAUCUUAAAUCCUAAACAAACUCAAAUAAAAUCCUAAAUCCUAAAUCAAAUCCUGAUCAAAUCCUAACCAAACCUUAAAUCCUAAACCAAACCCUAAAUCCUAAAUAAAAUCCUAAACACUAAUCAAAUCCUAAAUUCUAAACCAAAUCCUAAUCCUAAAUCAAAUCCUAACCAAAUCCUAAACCCUAAACCAAAUCCUAAUCCUAAAUCAAAUCCUAACCAAAUCCUAACAAAAUCCUAAUCCUAAAUCAAAUCCUAACCAAAUCCUAACCAAAUCCUAAUCCUAAAUCAAAUCCUAACCAAACCCUAAUCCUAAAUCAAAUCCUAACCAACCCUAAAUCAAAUCUUAAAUCCUAAACCAAAUCCUAACCAAAUCCUAAUCCUAACCAAACCUUAACCCUAAUCUUAAAUCCUAAACCAAACCCAACCAAAUCCUAAUCCUAAAUCAAAUCCUAACCAAAUCCUAGUAAUUUCUACAAUACAUUUAAAUCUCAAUAACUAAUGAAUGAACCGUUGAUCUUAACUCAAAUUUUGCACACUUCUUAAAAAUUAAGUUGAAAAUAAGUAAAUUUUUUUUUGAAAAGGAUCGAAAUUAUCAAAUAGACGAUAACCUCAAAAACGUGCUUAGGUAUUGGUCGGCCUCCUUCUCCAACCUUGAUGCCAAUCUCUUAGAGCCAAUAUCUCUCUUUUUCACCAUUCGAUUGAUUUAAAAAUCUUCAUACACAUAGAAAAAAAAGUCUAAUAUCCUUUCUCAUAAAUUACACUCCAAACCAACUUGUAGAUUGCAAGAAAUCUUGAAAACCCUCACUAGACCUAAAAUUCUACUUACUAAGACCUUGACUCUUUUAAACCUCAAUAACCUUCAAUUCAACCGUUAGAUCAAGCUAAGAUUCAUAAUACAUAUUAAGCAUACUUAUGACCAUUAAUCCACAAAAUUUCACCUAUAAAUAUAUUAUAAAACUCUUGAAAUCACUAGAAACAUCAACCCUAUUUUAUUUCACAAAAUCCAAGUCAUCCAAAAAUAAUCUUGACUUUGUAAAGCUCUUAUAAAGUCAUAACAACUCCAAAUCAUCCAAAACUAAUGCUCAUAGAAACCUUAUCCAAUGUGGUAUCAAAUUCCACUCAUCGAUCUACCAAAGAGUCCUUGAGUUGUCAUCGAGACUCGGUUUUGUGCCUUAGGAUCUGAUUUCGACCAAGGUUGAUAAUCGGCCCUCUUCAGGUAUCAAUAUCUAGUUUUUUUAGAUAAUUUUUGCUAGAAUUUACUUUUAACUUCCUCCUAAAGAUGUCUAUAUCAUUUAUUUUUCUAAUAUAUCUUGUUUUGCCUUAUUUUUGGCCCUACAAAGUAAAGAGAAGCUAUUUUUUAAAAAAAGGCAACAUUACUACUAAAAGUUUUAUUACCUUCCUAUCUUUUAUCCAUAUUUUUCUACUUUAUCUUUUAACUUGGCUCUUCUAUAAUAAGAUCCAUAUUGUUAUCUUUCACCAUGUAGUCAUGUUACAACAUGACAACGUGUAAUUUUCUUCAUAUCUCACAAAAUAUAAGCUCAAAUGCCACGAAAUUUAUAUGUAUAGCUUCUUAACACAAAAUAUUAUAUUCUCCAAAAUGUUUGAGCCAAAAUUUUGUCCAAAAACUCAAGUUAUGGCUCCAACCAUUACUAUAAAUAAAACUGCUCACAUACUGCCUUUGAUUUGGAAGCACUGCCUUCAACUCCCUAUAACUCUUUCACGUGAACUCUAAAAGUAAUAAUUCUUUUGUAAAAGAUGUAGGCCUUAGAAUCUAUAUUCCAGCCACAUCUUUCGAUCUUCAAAAGCUAUAUUAUAACUUCUCAUAUUCUCAAAAGAGUAAUAAUAUGUCUUAAAUUAAUACCUUAACUUCAAACGACUAUAACUUCUUCACCCUAACUCCAAAUCUUCUAAUUUUUGCAUACAAAUUGUAGUCCAAAUCCUAAAAUUUAUAAUCCUAUCUUCUUAUUUCCAAACGCCUUCUUUGAAGUCACUAAAAUCCUUAUUAAGAUCGUAGGUAGCCUCCUCAAAGUCCAUUGGGCAUAGUAUUCAACUAAUAGGGAUGAAGUUCUCUAAUCCUUGCCUUCAUCUGACCAUGCCUUACUUUCAUCCCUCCCAAUCAGUCUCUUAUUAGUUUAGAUUUUCACCUUUAAGCUUCCACCUUCUUCCAAAGCUUCAUACUAAAUAUUUAGGUCCUAUAUUUUUUUAAUGCCAAAAUCAAAACAAGUAAAAUAUACAAAGUAAAGUUUCUUAAACCAACUCUUUUUAAUUUAAUCUACUAAAAAUUCUAACACUUAUUUAGAUUUAUUAAUAUAUAAUAUGUUUUAACUAAUUUUUACAUAUUAUAAGUAUUUAUAGUAUGACAACAUUUGUUAUCUAUGCAAAUCCAUGAUCAUAACCUAUGGUUGUUACAACAAUAAUUUUAGAGGUGUAUAAGGAUUUUAUAGAUUUUUUUGAAAAAAAAAUAUGCAAAUAUCCUACCAAAGUAUCAUCCUUACAAUUAUAUAAUUGACCUUCAAGAAGGUGCUCAACCACUGUUUGGAUCCAUCUUCAAUUUAUUCUAGAAUGAAUUUAUGACUUUAAAAGAAUAUAUUGAUGAAAAUCUAAAUAAAAAUUUUAUUUGACAUUCUAAGUUGCAAGUUGGUGGUCUAAUAUUAUUUGUAAAGAAGAAAGAUGGAUCUUUACAGAUGUGUGUUAAUUAUUGUAGUCUUAAUAAAAUCACAAUGAAGAAUUGAUAUCCAUUUCUACUGAUAUUUAAACUUUUUGAUCAACUUAGUCAAGAAAAGAUCUUUAUGAAGAUUGAUCUACAAGGCACAUAUAACUUGGUACAUAUUAAGAAGGGAGAUCAAUGGAAGACAACACUUUGUAGCAAGUAUGAACAUUUUGAAUACAAUGUUAUGCCUUUUUAUUAGGAAAGCCAAUGGUUGUUCAAAUUGACCAUUGACCCUUGCUACAUGAUUUGCAUCUGAAAAAUAUGAAAUUAUAACAUGAUCAUUGAGAAGAACAAUUGCAACUUUUUGAUAUCUAGCUUGAGUAUAAGCAAGGGCAACAAUAUAUUGUAUCAAACAGCUUAUCGAAGAGAUGAGACUUAAAGGAUAAAUUGAGAGAUAAGGCAGAAAUCUCUACCACUAGUAGUGUCAUUUUAGAUCUAACCAAAGAGACAAAAUGGAAGAAAGAUACACAUUGGAAUGCUCAUUUCAACAUGGUUAGCGAUUGAUUAAAGGUGGGCAAUAUACAAUAUUAAGAUUACACUCUUGAAGAUGGCUUGUUUUAUUUUUAAAAAAAAAAUUAUAUAUCCUACGAUGCUAUACUCCGGAUACACAUACUUGAAGAGGAAUAUAACAUUCUAAUAUCUAGUCAUCUGGAAUGAGAGAAGACUUUAGAAUAGAUCUCAAGGAUAUAGUUUUGGACAAGUUUGGAUCAUGAUGUUUAAGCCUUUAUACACUCCUACGAGUCAUGUCAACAUAAUAAAGCACACAACAUAGCCUCUCUUGAAUUAUUCCAACCAAUUCUACUAUCUAUAAUAUGUUGAAAAUAGAUGACUAUGGAUCUCAUUAUGUCUUUAUCAUAGAUGCUUCAUAAUUAUACUACAAUUGCCAUCUUUGUAAAUUGACUCUCAAAGCAACUUUAUUUGGCCAUUGUACACUUGGAUAUUGAUGUCUCAAUGCUUGUACAAGUUUUCUUUGAUAUCAUCUUUUGUCACCAUGGAUUAUCUUGUGUCAUCGUUUCAGAUCGAUAUCUAUACUUCAUGAGAAGUUUUUUUGCAAGUCUUGUUCAAGCUAUUAGACAUAUAACUUGCCAUGUCUAUAGCCUUUCAUCUCUAAACAAAUGAGCAAAUAAAGCAUAAAAAUUGGACCUUGAAAGAUAUGCUACAGGUAUUUGUAGUGGUUCAUUAUAAUAAUUGGGAUGAAUAUUUGAUGUCCUUGAAGUUUUCUUAUAAUGAUAGUAUUCAAGCAAGUACUAAUCAUUUGCCAUUUUUUCUUAAUAUCGAUCAACAUCUAAUUAUGCUAACAAUUUUUUAUCAUCCUAUCAACAUCAACAACUCGACAAAGGAGGAAUUUAUACAACACCUUAUAAGAGCCUUAUAAGAAGCAUGGCAUCGCCUCUUUAUUAUAUAGAAUUGAUAAAAGUAACAUGCGGAUAAUCAUUGGCAACACAAGACCUUUUGAAAAGGUAAUCAAGUAUUACUCUCCAAUACCAACUUGCCACUUAUUACAUCAAUCCAAAUCCGUAAAUUAAUACUUUGGUAGCUUGGACCUUUCCACAUUUCUGCAAUGAUUCCUGAUAUCGCAUACUGCCUUGAGUUUUUGCCACAUAUUUGGAUCCAUACAGUUUUCCAUGUUUUGCAAUUAAAAGAAUUUCAUGCUGAGCCAAAUCACUUUCUGGAUUGACACCAACUACCAUCACCACUAGUUGUAAUUGAUAACUAACAAGAAUAUGAAGUAGACAACAUUUAAGAGCAUUGCUACCUUCGUCAACGCAAUGGACGUCCACAACUUCAAUACAAAAUUCUUUGGAAAGGUUAUCCUAUUCACAAUGAAACAUGGGAACCUACACAAAACCUCAUCCAUUGCCAAGAGAUAAUUUGGAGAUAUCAUUGGGAACAAAACAAGUAUAUUCUACAUUAGUGGAGGAGGAUUAAUUAUAAUAGAAUAUAGAUAAGAUAAUUGUAUAGAUAAUUAAAACCAUGGAAGUUAUUAGAAUUGAGAUUAGGUUAGUGGACCAAGUAGGAUCCAUCAUAGAAUAUUCUAAAAAGAAUUUAAGAUAAUUAUUUAAAUGGGGCCUAUCAUAGAACUUUCUAAAAAAAGAAUUUAAGGUGAUUAUUUAGGUAGAAUCGACUACCUAGGAAUAUUUUAGAAACUCUAGGAUGGUAGGACAAGAUAUAAAUAGGAUUGGCCAAGGCCUUUUGAGGCAUUUGGUUAGGUAUGGCUUUGGACCCUUUCUCUUAGUAAAAUUUGGUUUUCCAUCUUUUUGUUCAGAUCUAUUUUGUUCUAUUUUCAUUUGCUCAAUUUAGUCUUUUAUGUCCUAUUUUGUUUAGUUUUAUUCACUUUUGUUUUGGUCUAUUUUGUCCUGUUUUGUGAUGAGGCUUUAUGUUAUUAUAGCUUAGAAGGAUCUUGGAUUUUUGAGAUAGUCUAGUCUUAUUUCAAAUAUAAAAUCAAUCUCAAUAAUAGCCCUUUUAAACCAAUUACUUCAAAAUAGUAAUCUAACCAUAAUUUGUGACUAAAUAAAAUCUAAUAAUGUAGAUGUUACUACAUUGUAUAGUAAAUUAUAUAUUAAAUAUUUAUGUGUAUUAUUUUUACAUAAUAGCUUAACUACAACAUGACAUCAUCAAAAAGGAUUUUAUUUAUAUUAUAAAAAAUCAAAACAUAUUAUUUAAUAUUAUUUAAAGAAGUAAUAUAAUCAUAAAAUAAAUAAAUUAACUAUCAAAGAAGACAAUAUGUUAAAAAACAAGUUUGUCCAGUUAUAAUAAGAAUCAUGUAGCUAAAAUCUUAUACAAUAUCUAACAAAGCUCUUUUUCUCUCCUCAAAACCCUCUCCUUGUUUUACAAUAGAUGUUAGUUUAGGACCUAAAUAUCACAAAGCUUCUACCUUGUUAGAUUUAAGAGCCUCACCUUAUUUUUUAAAUGAAGAGUUUAUUAAAAAUUAUAACAUAUCUUUAAUAAAGAAAAAAAACUUCUUCACAUAGAAGUCAUAGAUGGUCAUCCAUUGUCCUUUCGAGACAUUAUUCAUGAAAUAUUUAUUUUAGAAAUAGUAACUAAUGAUUAUAUUAGUUUUAUGGUAUUUAAUAUUAUUAGAUAUCUUUUUAAUUUAAUUAUUUUAGAUUUAUUAUGGUUAAAAAAGUAUAACCUUUAAAUAGAUUGGAUUUCUUGUCUUCAAGCUCAUUAUGACUUUCCAAUAGGGAGGACAUAUUGGAUAUAAUAAGACUUUGGAACUAAUAUCUAGAGAUUUUUGGUGGCUCCAAAUAUGGAAGGUAGUUAAAAAUUUUGUACAAUCCUAAGAUAUUUGCUCAAGAUCAAAAACUCCUUAUCAUGAAUCUUAUCGACUUCUUCAACCAUUAUCUAUUCUAAAAUAACUAUGGUCUUCUGUUUCUAUGGAUUUUAUCAUAGAUCUUCUAUUCUCAGAUUUUCAUGAUUCUAUAUUUCUCAUAGUAGAUCAUUUCACUAAGAUGGCAUAUUUUGUAUCAUGUAUAAAAUCUAUCUUUGAUGAAGAAACAUCCAAACUUUUCUUUAAUAACAUCUAUUACUAUCAUAGAUUGUCUAAAGAUAUUAUAUUAGAUAGGAGAAUUCAAUUUAUAUCAAAACUAUGAAGAUUCUUAAGGUAGACAUAAAACUAUUUCUAACUUUCCAUCUUCAAACUAAUGGACAAACAGAGCAUGUAAAUCAAGUUUAAGAGUAUAUUUGAAGUAUACUAUCAACUACCUUUGAAGAUAACAAAGAUCAAAUUGUAUAGCAAAUACAAUUUUUUACAUCUUAAAUUACUUUGAUAUGUGAUCUUUGCUCCUUGUGGACCUUGUCAUCUUAAGGAGGGAGUAAUGUCAUAGAUAUAUAUUUAUUAUAAUUGUUACCUAUGUGAUAUAAAUAAAUAGAAGAAUGUAAAAGUAGAUUAAUAUCUUCUAGAGAAGCUUCACAAUAUUCUAAUUCACAACUUAUUAACUAGCUUCCAUUUUAAUUAUUUAAGUUGUCUUUUACUUUGUCUUAAAUUCUGAGUUUGCUUAACUAAUAAAAAGCCACUUACACACCACCAAAAAAAUAAUACAAGGUAUUCAAAUAAUUCAAAAAAAUUUACAAUUAAAAGACAAUUUUUUAUAUGAUUUAAUUUAAGUCUAUAUAGUUUUUAAUUUAUAAAUAUAUAUAUAUGUAUAUAUAUAUAUAUAUAUAUAUAUUGAAUUUAAAUUUAAAUUUAGUAUUAAAUAUCAUCCAAUUUUAAUCAAAUUCCAUCCAUGAAAAUUCAUCUAUUCAGAAUCCAAAUUCAUCCAUUCAAAAUCUAAUUUAAUUCGAUUGAUUUAAACUCACACAAAAUAAUUUAUUUUAACUCAAAUUCAAUGAUGUAAAUUCAAUGUCUUGCCCACUUUUCAAAAUCAAAUUGAGUGUUGGAUCUUAACCACUAAGUCGUUGGCAGUCUGAAGACGGUCCACAGCAACUCUGAUGACUAGCUUCAGAUCAGGAUGCCAAAGUCGCACUAAGAAGUUGGAGGGUCUGCUGGCUAUUCACUCGCUGUCCUUUCGAAAUAAUACUCAUCACCGGUUGAUGGUAGAAUUUGAAGCCCCUAAAAAUGAACAAUGGCAACUAACAAAGGUCGAUCCAACACAACAACACCCCCUACCGCUUGCAGGAGUCCUUUGCCUCUUCUCCUUCUACAACAAGGCCUCCAUCCAAUUGAAGUGUCGACCAGAUCGAAACUAGUCACGCAAGCUCGGUUCAAAUUUCUACUGCCGUGUCGAUCUGGAUCCGCUACCAGAACAGCCGCUUGUGCUCUUCUACUGAACGGGACGAUGAAGAAGAAGGUUUUUUCUUUUUUUUCCUGUUGUUCUGGGUGCUCCUUCGCCACAACCUUUGACUUGAUUUUUGUGCUUUACACAACCGUAGUAAAAGGCUCUCCACAGUGUAGUGAAGUCUUUGUGAACGGUCGGCCCGGCACCAUAAGCUAUGCCUAUGGCUGAAUUGGUUUGCACUUUACACUGCACCGCCUUCCUCAACCUUCCUAAAUUCUCACCAAUUCUGCUCCAUCGCAAGAUAUCUUUACCAAAAUGCCACCUUCUUUGAGCAACUUUGACCAUGUGCCUCUAGACAAUUUGACCUUCCUAGUGACUUUGAUGAGUUCUUAUGAAUUCCAAAAUCCAAUCUGCUUCCUAUGAUCUAACUGCAACUCCUUAACUAAAUGAUUAACUAGGCAUGCAAAAUAUGCUCCAAUCUACCUGCUUAAUCUACGCAAGCCCCCUCUACGUAUCCUCUUUGGUGGAAUCUUGCAUGCGGUCUGUGUUGUUGUAGUGGCCGAGAAUUGUUUAAUCGUUGAUGCUUGAACCCUGUUCUGAUCCUUUGUCGCACUUACAACUCUCCAAUUCAAGAUCGUCGUGAUUGACUUCCAAUCGCCACUUCGGCUUGCUUGCACAGCGACAAUUUUUUUAAAGAACGCCAAUCUAACUAAUGCAACUGAUUCUUCACUCCGGCCAAUUUUGUAAUAGUUGAACAACCAAAAUAUUGUUGUACAAUGGCUUCGUAUACCACACAAUUUUUUUCUAGGUCGCUGUAGUCUUCUGUACUAUAACACCGUAAUGCCACUCCUACACCAAUACAAAUCCACGAACUAGAAAAAAAUACACUCUUUGGCGCUGCAACCACGCCCUUAGCCAACCGAGCCGUCGAUUGAUCACACCGGAAGAAAAAAAGAACGCGCUAGUCGUUGACUCCAGCGACGCAGCAUCGCUACUCUGCAAGAACAAAAAAAAAAAAAAAAAAAAAAAAAAAACAGAAAGGAUAACAACUCAAGCCGAAGUGGGUAGGGUUGGCUCCACAGACGUCCAAUCACAAUACUAGAAGAGGAAGGUAAACCACCACACAGCACCAACCGUCGCACACCGUACCACCGUUAGAACCCGCAACUACACAAUUUGUGGAGACUGCAAACUAAGGAGCCCCUCAACGGCUUUCUAUUGGUACACUGCUCCAAAAGCGCUUGCAACACCGCUAUAAUAACAAGCAAAGCACUACACACUCUAGCCGCAGCAGACACCCGGAUUCCAGAGCUUCCGUCGUCAGCCAAAAAUCAAAUCAGAGAGAAAAAAAAACAAUGAGGCUGGGACACACUUCGCUGGACUUUGGCAGCCUCUUCCCGGAGAACAAGGAUCUCAUCCUUAUUUCGGGAAUUCCAGCAAGUAAGAUAUUUUUUAUUUUUUUUAUUUUUUCCGUUUUUUUAUCUUAUAUCUUUGAUCCCUUUUUUUUUUUUUUUUUUUUUUUUUUUUUUCUUUUGGAUUGACUUAUUGGAUUGACUUCGAUCAAAGAUCCUUCUUAGCUUCUAAUCUAAUUAAAUAAUUCAUGAUAAUAAAACUAUUAUUUAAAUACCAAAUUUUAUAUUAGUUAGUGUAACAAAAAAAUAUUUGCUUUAGAAAUUCUUCUCAAAAAUUCUUCUAGAGCCCCUUCUUACAAUUGCCAUUCUAUUAUUUUUCUUUUUAUUUCAGUACUGCUACAUUAACUCACUAGAUUGGUGUUUUUAAGUACCUUAAGUAUAUUUUUUGUACUAAACAUACAAGCAAGUUAAUUGUGUGACUUACACUCUUUUUCUUAUCUUUUAAAAAUUCUCAUUUGAUAUUAGAUAUUGCAUAUUACCUUCUUCUAAUUUGACUUGUGAAUUUAUUUAAGUCAUUUAUAAAAAGAAAAAUUAUGGAUGCUACUUUUGAGUCAUUAAAUUGACUCAUUAAUUGUUUCAAAACAAAGAGAUGCAUUUAGAGUACUAAAUUGUAAUUAUUAGGUGAAGAUUAAUUGAGAAGAUUCUAGAUGAAGUAAAAUUAGUGUUAGAAUAAGAAAUUAGCAACUAUAGUAAUCUAGAAGACAUAUAAGCCUUAAAGGCUUAAAAUAAAUUUCCUUCUCAUGAAAGUAUGACUACAUUAGUACUAAUUUGUAGUUUUUAAUAUUUUAUUUAUUUCUAUUAAUUCUUUUUUUCCUUCUUUUUUCUAUUAGAUAAAAUCAAGCUUGGAUUCUCAAAGGAGAACAUUGACUUUUAGCAUUCUCUUAACUUCUUAAAAAUACUAAAAUCUCCAAAGAUUAGUAGAAUCAUAAUUUUUCAAAGUCUAUGAUCUUUUAGAAAAUUUUAAAUUAAAUUUUGUGGCAAAACUUCUAUAAUUUCUUUAAUAAAAUUAUAAUACCAUUUAGUAACUAACUUCUAGAAUUUAAAUAGACAAUUAGUUUUAGAAUGCUAUAAAAUCAUGUAAAUAUUACAUUUUGGCAUGGAUUUGUGCAAGCAAGGAAGUAAUCUUGGAAUAAAAAUAUAUUUUGAAUACAAUUGUGACAUGAAUUUGAUCAAAAUCAUAUUCAUUGAAUAAUUAUAAAGGCUUCCAAGACUAAAAUCAGAUUUAAAUUUAAAAGGCCUUGUAAACCAUAGAUCUUAAUUAGGUUUAUGGAAUCUCAAUGGUGGAGAUGUGGCUGCCAUUUUUAGGGCCUCAAAUACUUGUAUAAAAGGGUUGGGCAGCCAAGCCCUCUUUCAUCCUCUUCCUUUUGUUGAUGGGCAAAGCCAUGCCAAUUUUUUCCAACGUUUCAUAAGAAACUUGGUUGUUUCAAUUUUUUCCUAUUUUAAUUUAUAGGAUCAGUUUUAAAAUUUUAGAUAGAAGUAAUCAUUUUUGUUGCAAUUUUUUAUAUAUAAAAAUCUUAGAAUUUGGAAUUUGUAUAAGGAAGAAACCUCUAAUUUAGUAAAAGGUAGUAUUUUGUCUUCACAAUUUGGUAGCUCUAUUUUGGAAGGCUCAUCUCAUUGCUUACAAGUUGUAAAGCAACAAGAAUUAUUUUGCUAGAAAGUUGAUAAAAUGUAGUUUUGAAAAAGCUAAGAAUCAAUUAUAUUAGAGCAGGAUUAUAAUAGGGGUAUUGAUUCUUGCGGUAGAUGAUUUGCUACCUCUGAAUUCAAGUGGCUAAGUAAAGGUACAACUUUGGAGGACAAAAUCAAGAAGAUUAACAUAAUCCAAGAGCUCAAAUUUUUGGAAGAAAGUGCUAUUUGCAGUUAGAAUUUUAACAAGCUUAGAUUUACUAAAAGGCAAUCAAGGACUAAGUUGUAGGCACUCUAUUUUGUAGAAGGGGAUUUGAUCCCUUAUUAAAUGAAGCAUCAACUUUGAGGGACAAUAUUAGAAUUACACAACUAAAUUUGAAGGUAGAAUUUAGAAAAUGGAUGCAUCUUCAAGUCUUCUUUCUAAUAAGAUUAAUUGGAUUCAAUUUGAAGGUUGCAAUCAAUCGUGGUAUAUUUAAUUGUGAAAGUGGGAGUAGCAAUAGGUUUAGAAGUACCAACUAUAUUGGAUUCUUACUUAGACAAUAUUGUAAGUCCAUUAGUUAGCUAUUAUGGAUAAAUUAUUUGGAUGGAAUUUGAUGAUGAAAUUGAAUUCUAUUAGAUGAAAAAUUAUAUAGAUGAAGUUAAAUCAAAUUGGAUGAAUUUUGAUGAAUAAAAAUUUAUUUAAGUAGAUGAAUUCUUAUUUUUUGAUGAAAAAUCAUUCUUAGAAAAAUAAUGGACGUAAAUCAAAUGCUAAUAGAAUUUUUGUUAAAAAAUUUAGAUAAUUAAUAUCAUUGUGAAUUGGAUUAGACUUCCAACUACCAAGAGUUUAUUUUGGUUCAUACUAUUCAUAGAAAAAAUAAAUGUUGAUUUGAAACUAUUAUAGAUCUUUACAAUGUCAUGAUGAAAAAUAGUAUAAUAUAUAAAAAUCUUAUAAUAUAUAAAAAUAAUAUAAAAUAUUAUAAAAAUAUGUUUUAAAAUUAAAAAAACAUAAAAACAUAAUAAAAUAAAAAUAUAGGAAAAAAAUGUAAAGAUCAAAGAAAUGUAGUAAAAAAAAUAAUUGUGGUUACAAAUUUUAGGUAGAUUGUAUCUUGUCACAACUAAAGGAAUAGAUGGUUAGUUGAAUAUAUUAUUUUCUUGCUUGUUAUUCAUACCAGUAAUUCUAAGCUACAUGCCAUCCAUAUCAAUUAAUAAGUUUGAUAGAAAUUGAACUUGGACCAACUCAAGCAACAUAAACUUAACCAGCUAAUCAAGUUUGUGACUUAACCUAAGAUCUUGAAAUCUUUUUAAAAAAUUACGUAAUAUUUUUAUAAUUUAAGAUUAUAAUUUAUUACUUUGGUAAUUUUUUAUAGUAAUAAAAUAAAUUCAUAUCCACUAAAAAUCCUACUUUUUAUAUAAUUAAUUAAAAAGACAUGAAAUUCUCUACAUGCUUCUUUUAACCACUAAUUAAUCAUUGAUAGGAUUUUUAUAAGUAAUAAAUAUAGAUGAAAGGCCAAUGAAGAAAUUGGUCUCAAUAAUUAAUUCUUAAUAUUUAAUAAUAAGUAAAAAUACUAAAAUAACUAAAAUAAUUACCUCCAAAACUUAUUAAGACUCCAUAUUUAUGACUUUUCUUCUAAUGAGAUUUUUGCAACUUGUAAACUCUUUUUAAUUCUAAUAAAUAAUAAAUAGUCAAAAAGAAUCUCUAAGUUUAAUAUUUUUAUAAUUAAAUGACUUAAAAAUAUAUUUUUAAUCAAUCCACUGAUAAAUAUGCAUUGAUAGAACUCAUAUAUAUAUAUAUAUAUAUAUAUAUACAUAUUAGAGUACAUAUAUAUGUUUGUUGUCAUGUAAUAACAUGAUAAUAUGGUGAAAAAUUAAAAAAAUGGAUGUUAUUAAAAAAGAGCCUAGUAAAAAGAUGUAGUAGAAAAGCAAUGAUAAAUUAUAUAAACGUAAUAAAAAAUUUAGUCUUACUGCUAUUUUUUACAAAAGAAACUUCUAUUUACUUUAUAGAAGCAUAAAUAAAAUAAUUUAAAGUAAAUGAGAUAAGAAAUUGAUAUAAACAUUUUUAGAAGAGAAUUAACAAUAAGUUAAAGUAAAAAUUAUCUCAAAUUAUUAAAAAUUGAUAUUCCAAAAGGAUUGGUCAAAAUCAAAACUUGAGGCACAAAACCAUGUACCUACAGUGAUUCCAAGGUUCUUUUGCAAAUCAAAAAGUAAGGCUUGAGAGAAGACUUUAUAGAGUUUCUUUAAGCAUUAAUUAUGGGUAAUUUAAGUUUGUAAUGACUUUGUAAGAACUUUGUAAAGUUAAGAUUUUUUUUGAUGAAUUUCAUUUUAUAAAAAUAAAAAAAGAUUUAUAUUUGAUAGAAAUUUAAAAGUUUGGUAGUAGAUCCAUAAAUAAAAAUUUAUAGAUUUAUAAUUAUAAUUCUUCUUAUUAUAUACUAUAAAUUUUAAUACGAUCAAACUAUUAUAUUGAUAAUUAUUGAAAUUUAAGUGGAUUGGAAUCUUGAAAAUGGAGUUUUAAGAUCAGUGAGGAUUUCUAAGAUCUUUAGCAAUUUGCCAAUUGUAUUGAGAUAAAAUUAGUAGAUAUACAUAAUAGACUUGAUUUUCAAUAUAUUUAUGAAAUUUAAGAGAUAUUUAAUAAUAGAAUUAAGAAAUUUUGACUUAGAAAGAUUGAUAUUAAAAUUAGAAAAGAAGAUAUAUCAACACCUUAGUGGAUUUAAGGAUUUAUAAUUUAUUUGAUAUGUAUAAUAUUCUUCAAGUACUUUGUAAUUGUUGUUAACUUAGUUGUUACAAAGUAUACAAAGUUUGAUUCAAAAUCAAUAGUUUAAUCAUUUGUUAUUGAAUUUUUAAUUCGAUGUAGAAUUGUUAAGAGUUUUAUUAAGGACUGAUUAGGAUAAGGAUUUAUUAAGGACUGAUUCUCAAGUAAGAAAGUGUCGUUUAUACAACAAAUAAUGUUGUAUAAUAUUAAAAAUCCAUAAUCUCCUUUAAAAAAUUCAUCUUUAUAUCAUAAUUUUAUCAUAGCUCCAUAUUUCUACCUUUAUCAUAUUUCAAAAGUCUUGACUUCCAAAAAUCCCUUUAUUUUGCAUAAAAUGCUUAAAUUAUAGAAAAAUCCUUUUAAUUUAUUUUUUUUUUCCACAAUUUUUUUUUUCUCUAAACUUUAGAAUUUUAUAUCUCUUGAUUCAAUUGUUUUAUUUUUUAAAAAAAAUUAGAUGAUGUGAUAUAUAUUCUUAAGCUUUGAUAAUGUAAAUAUUGGACAAAUAAAAGAUGUUACCUAAUGUAAGUUGCAAAUGGUUAAAAGAUAGAAAAAAGUAAUAGAAAAAUUACCUAAUCCUAAGAUUGAGUAAUUAAGAUCUUAUACAAAGUCCUUAAUAGUAUCUUUGGUAUUGUAGAAGUUUUAGUGAGAAAGUGAGUUUUAUGAGUUAAAAAAAAAAAAAAAAAAAAAAAAAAAAAAAAAAAACUUGAUGGUGAGGAUGAUUGGAGUCCACAUACUUGUUAGAAUCUUUGAAAGUUGAGUUGAGAGUGUUUGGAAUGAAAAAAUACUCAUUUUUUCAUAAGAGGGUAUUCUAAGAUUUUGCUAGUGCAAAAUUAUUUUGGUGAUUUUAAGUACAUAGAGACUUCUUUUCUUCAUAUUUUUUAAAAGACCUAUUCUUAGACAUGGCUUCUAGUGAAGGUGAAGAUUUGAGAGUGAUUGAGAAGUUUAAAGGUGACAAUUUCUACCAUUGGAAGAUAAAAAUGGAACUUUUUUUGGCAUCUUUGGACCUUUGGGACAUUGUAGAUGAAAGUGAAGAGCCUCUAAGCAUGCAUGUUGAUGCUAAGGAGAGAAAAGACUUUACAAGAUGUGAAAAGAAGGCUUUUGGCAUAAUUGCCACCAAUUUGGAUGAAGCCAAUUUUUCUUACAUCAUCUCUUGCAAAGAACCUCCAGAAGCAUAGAAGACCAUUUGCAACAUAUAUGAAAGCAAGAAAUUAUCCAAUAUCAUCUUUAGAAGAAAGAAAUUCUUCACUUGUAAGAUGGAAGAAAGUGAUGACCUCAUGGCUCAUGUCAAUAAGGUAAAGGCCCUUACUAAUGAAUUUGCAAUUAUUGAUAAGACUUUAGAAGAGAUUGAUAUUAUCAUGACCUUGCUUGUAAGCCUUCUCAAGUCCUAUACCUACUUCAUUAUCGCAUUGGAAUCCAUCAAACUAAAAGAGCUCACAAUAGAUUAUGUGACAACAAGACUUACUCAUGAAGUAACCAAGAGAGAAAAAAAAAAAAAAAAAAAAACCUCAAAGUGAAGAUUUGGCUCUUUUUUCAAGACAAGGCAAGGAGACUUAUUAUAACCAAUGUCGCAAUACAAGAAUUUGCUUCAUUUGUAGAAAAUUAGGUCAUUUUGCUAGAAAUUGCUACAAGGCUAAGAAAAGAGAUAGCAAAAGUGUAAACAAUGCUCGUGAUGAAUAUGGAGGUGAUGAUUAUGCAUUCAUGGCAAGUGAAGGUACUUCUAUGGCUGCCAUGUUCAAGUAGAUUGUUGAUUUGAGUGCCACCAAGCACAUGACUCCAUACAAGUGUUCAUUUAACAUUUAUGAAGAAAUUUCAGCAACAAAUAUACUCAUGGGAGACAAUGGCUUAGUACAAGCUAUUCAAAUGGGCUCUAUUGUAGUAAAGAUUGUUGUGAAAGACAAAAAUAAGAGGAUUAGAUUGAAGGAUGUCUUAUAUAUACCAAAGAUGAAGAAAAACCUUUGUUUGGUAAAUAAACUUGUUUUACAUGGUUGUAAAGUAAAAUUUGAUAAGAAUGGAUGUUUUGUAAAGAUAUCGGAAAGAGAUGAUGUUGCAAAAGACAUUAGAGAUGGCAACCUCUACUUCAUCAAGUCUAAGAAGGUGAAUAGAGUUGAAGUGACAGCAUUUACUGAAUUUCUUCAAGAUCAAGAUAAGUUUAGUAUUUGACAUCGACGCCUUAGUCAUUUGAAUGCAAAGAGCAUGAAGGAGCUCUAAUCCAUAGUAAGUGACUUAGAUCUUAGUCAUAUAAGCUACAAUGCUAUGACACUUGCUUGUGAAGGUUAUAUUCAAGGCAAAUAACAAAAGGCUAUAUUUCCAAGUGGAGUUACAACACAUGCAACCAAGUUCUUAGAGUUAGUCCAUUCUGAUGUUUUUGGACCUAUGAAGAUACCAUCAAUAGGAGGUACAAGGUACUUUGUCACAUUCAUUGAUGAUUUUUCAAGGAAGGUAUGGAUUUUCAUCCUCAAAGCAAAGACUGAAUGUUUCAUAAGGUUUAAGGAAUUUAAAGCACUUAUGGAGAAGCAAUGUGAGUGCAAAUUCAAGAUAUUGCAUACAGACAUGGAGGUAAGUAUAGAUCAAAGUAAUUCAAUGAUUUCUUCAAGAUGCAUGGUAUUGUAAGAUAAACCUCCACUCUUUACACUCCACAACAAAAUAGAGUUGCUAAAAGAGCAAAUCGAACUAUUAUGGAGAUGACAAAGAGUAUGCUUCAUGUCCAACAUCUUAGAUAUGAAUUUUGGACGGUGUCAUAUUACGUGCUUUUCUGCUCGAGAACGCACCGGGCGUCUGGCUGUAGAAGGUAGUAUGGAGAUUCGCUAAUAUUCAAGCAGUCUAUCGGUUUUUGACUAUUAGAAUAUAAACGAUUACAAGAAUAUAUCAUAAAUCUAUACGGAUGUCCUUUGACUGCUCGCCGAAAUCCUUUUUACCCUAGCCGAUAGGUCUCUAAACGUUACAAAGAACCCCGAACAACCCAAUCUGCUAAUCUCCAAUACCGCUUUAUAUUCACGACCUUGUAUCCACUGAUUGUCUUGUUAGAUUAAUCCAAAAAAUUUCAUUCACUCCGCAUACUCAAUCCUAUAGACACCCUUUUAAUUCUUCAAUCACAAAUAUAACUUUGAUUUUACAAAACAGUCAAGAGUAAUUACACCCACUUCAUUAAAACCCCGAUUCACUAGUACAAUACAUCGACCUUUUAGCAUUGAUCGCCAGAAGUCCCUUUUUUGACCCCUACCCAAAAAUCUUGUAUCUUCUCUUUUUCUUAACCUCCCUAAUUCUCGAAUCUCUGAAUCCUCUCCUCCACCCUAACCAUUUCCGAAUGUUUUUUUUUUUUUUUUUUCUCUUUUGGAAAAAAAAUUAAUCCAGUUCACCAAUAUAACACUGACUUUCAGCAACGAUUGCCUCCAUCUUUCCCAAAAUCCUAUGAAAAAAAAAUCCCAAUUCUCUGUCUUUUUUUUCCCCCCCCCCCCAAAGCAUGAAGUUAGCUCUCCGACCCUUAAAACCCUAAUUCUCUCCUUCCUUUAUUUCUUAACCUAUCCUCCUCUUUAACCGUAAUUCUCCCCUCUUUCAAACCCUAGCCUCUGAAUUUCUUCAAUCUUCCGUCUUAGAUCCAGAAUUGGCUCCACCGUCAGAGCUUUCUCAUCCAUUUUUUACCUUUUAAAAGGUUCUUUUUUCAGAAACAACAUUUCUUGAAAUGGCACAGAGAAUAGAACAGCCUGAAACGAAAUCGAAACCCCCGUAAUCGAGACCACAUUGAGUCACUCGACCAAUUCAGGUCUCAUAUUAGCUAAGAAGCUUGUAGUAAGACCUGGAUGUUCCCGUAAUUGGGUCAAAUUGGUCCUUUGCAUCAGGCUCGCUCAGUCAUCAAUUUAGUCCUUUCGAUUCUGUUGACUCCCACUAUUGGACUCAAAUGGAGCAUUUCGUUACUGAUAAGUAUGCCCUGACCGAUUGUGACGAGGUGUCUGAAACUGGCCUCUAAAUAUUGGCACUGGAAUCAGUCAUUACUCCUAAUAUUCGAGGUAACUGAACAUUAAUAAAAGUCCCCUUUCUUUAUAUUUUCAUGGUAUACUCGUGUUACAACACAACAUCUACCCCCUCUGAACCAGUGCAUCCUCCGGUAUGCACCAAAUUAUCCAAUUGCUAUUUGAUUUAUAAUAUAUUCUCUACGUCUUUGUCCAGUUUGUCUUCGUCACCUUCAUUAUCCAAAUCACUUUCAUCUUCUUGAUGAAGAAUCUCUAUACCUUCAUUAAGAUCUUCCAUAUUCAUUUCUACAUUUUUUUGUUUAAAUAAUUUCACUCUCUUCACUGUAAUUGGUAUUUUUAACCUUGUGCCAUCUAACUCCCGCAAUGAAUAAGUCGAAUUAUCAUGAACAAUUGUUACCACAUACUGUCUAAACCAACAUUUUGAAAACUUCCGUAAAGUACUAUAUUGGUUGUCCAGACUACUAUCAUAAACAAGCACCCAAUCACCUUCUUCAAUUGCUUUAGGUCUCAAUCGAUGUUGCUUAUCGAAUCGAGCCUUCUUUUGUUACGUUGAUCUUUUUAACCUUUAGAAUGCUAUCUGCACAUCUUCCGAUCUUUGCUCCAAUUGUCAAAUCCUAAUAGCAAGAAGUUCUUCUCUUGUCAAUCCAUCUUCCCACGAUAGCAUACUCCAAGUAAGUACAUUUUUUUCAAUCGACAUAAUUGGUUUUCGACCUGUCAUAAAUUCUACUGGCAUAUAUCAUGUCAUCGAACUAUGUGUUGUUCGAUCAACCCAUAAUGUAAAUGACAAAAGCCGUGGCCACUCUCUAACUUUCCCAUUACAAGCUUUAACUAAUGCUUUCACAAUCGAUAGGUGACCACGUUCGUUUUUUACAUUCUCUUUCAGAUUAUAAGCAAUAGUCAGUGAUAAUUAAACUCCACAUCUUUCAAAGAACUUACGAGCUUCUUGUGCAUUUAAUUCUCCAUGAUCUGCAAUGAUUUUUCCUACGCAUCCGUAGCAGCAAAUGACAUCUUCAAGCAAAAACCUACAAAUCUCCUCUGUAAAUUUUGUCCUCAAUGCUCUUCCUUCUACUUCAUUUGAUAAAUCUUCACGAGCUAAGACCAAAUAUCUCAUCUGCCAUAACACAACUAGCAUAAUAAUCAAAUCAACAACUCAUUUAAAAUGAAUAGUCAGAGGAUACGUACGAUGAAGACCAUCUCGAUAUCGGAUAUUAGAAUACGAUUGACAGAUUUCACAUGACUCUAAAAAUGAAAGCACAUCUCGAUACAUAUUUUUCCACCAAUAUCGUUCCUUGAGUUUAGCAAAAGUAACCCAGAUUCCUCUAUGCCCUGCCCAUAAACUAUCAUGAAACUCCUGUAAUAAUUUUAGUUUUUCUUCUUUUUUGCCUAUCACUCGUUGUGGCAUCCCAAUUCCUUUCUUCGGUCUCUUCUAUAAGAAUCCAUCUCAAAGCAAAAAUCCAUAUGUUUUUUUUCUUAUUUGUUUGAAUUUUUUUGUAGACCAAUUCUCCUGCUUAGUCAAGCUAUUCAAGUAAUGACUAAUAUCCAAUAAUUCUCCUUCAAAGGUUCUUCAAGAAAUAGCUUGUCUUCCCUGUUGAGAUUUGAUAUUGAAUAGAAUUUCAAUCCGACGUCAUCAAUGUCUUCAACCAUUUCGUCUUCUCUCUCGUAUCUUGCUCGAGAUAGCAUGUCUGCUACUAAAUUGUCCUUCCCAGUAACAUGCUUAAAUUCUAAAUUUAGUGACUUAAUAUAAGCAAUCCAUCUCAACAUUGCAAUAUCUGACAUUGAAUAGUUAGUAAUCAUUCCAAGCAAUGGCAAGCAAUCUGUUUCAAUUACUACUACUACCCUAAUCAAAUAGUCCUUUUCAGCUUUCAUAGCCGAAACAACUCCCUAAAGUUCUCUUUUGACUUGCGAAUAUGCACGCUGACGAAUACUUAAAACUUUAGCCCCAAAUCGAACUACAAAUCUAUUCCCACUUGAAUCAUCUUGACCCACAGCCCAUCCAAUGGUAAUUGGACUAGCGUCCAUAGUAAGAAUCACUAAUCUAUUGCACUUAUAAUCAACCUUCCUCAAUAUUGGAGGUGACAUCAAUAAUUUCUUCAAUCUUUGUAUUGCCUAAAAAUGCCUUUCUUCCCAUUUGAAUCAGUAGCCCUUGCGUAACAGUUCAUAUAAUGGAUCUGUUAUGUGAGCAUAAUCAGGGAUCCAGAUUCAAUAAAAUAUACAUGCACCUAAAAACCUGCGAACCUCUGUUAAAGAAUCACAAUCCUCUUUCAUCCUUCCAAUUGCAUCAACUUUAGUCAGAUUUGGUUUUCUUCUAUAAGAUCCUCAUAAAUGUCCAACAAUCACAACCUCUUGUACUCCAAAUAUGGACUUCAUAUCCGAUAAUGUAAGAUGAACUUCUCCAAGCCGAGUUAAAAUCUUUUCACAAUCUGGUAUAUGAUCAACAACAUAUUGGCGACACCCCCUCUUAUCUAAAGUUUCAUCCUUGUCUCCUUCUCUGUAUCUUUUUAUAGGAACAUCAUCCAGAAAAGGCAUAGUCUUCUUCGAAAUAAAAUCUCUCAAUACCUUAUUCAUCCCAUUCAUCAUAUGCUUAACUGAGUUGGUCGCGCCUUGAGGAAGAGUGCACAUUCUAACCAAUCCAAGUGGUGUUCUCAUUGUUGUCAUAUCUCUACUUCCUUCGACAAGUUGAAAUUGAUCAUAACCUGAAUACAAGUCACCCAUUGAUUAGAUCGCCUUUCCAGCAAAUACCUCAGCAAAUUCAGCUACAAUAGGUCCAAUUCCUGCAUUUCUCACAGUUACCACAUUCACCAGUUGCAUAUCUUGAAUAAAACGUAGUGACCCAUUCUUCUUAGGUACUGUAAACCAUCGACUAGAAUACGGCGCAAAUGAAGGUUCCAAUAUUGUCAUCUUCAUCUUUUCUUUUAAUAGUUCCACCAAUUUAGGUAAAUGUGCCCUCGGUACUGGAAUCCAUCUUAGAUUCCAAGGUACAUACGGUACAGUGAAGAUAACCAUAGGUGUUACAUUAUUCGGAUUCACAUACCCAAUUUCAUAAGAUUCAAAGGCAAACGAUCUACCUUGUUUAGCCAACAUCUUUUUGAAGCAAGUAAUUUCUUCCAGCAAUAAAGAACCAUCAGAACCAAUCUUCAAUUCUUCAAAAGUCUCUUUAAUAAACUGAUGUCCAAUACUCAUUGGAUCUCUUAAACUUGCUUCUUUUGAUGCUUCUCCCAUUUGUUCCUUAGAAUCUUCUGAUAAUGGUCCGGCAACAGGCUUUACCUUCUUAUCUGUCGUUUUAUAUCUCCUCUCUACAGUGACCUCUGAUGCUUGAAAAGAUUCAAGUAUGGUAUAAACCUCUCUUGAAUGAAUCUCAACAAUCUUAUCAUUAUCUCCUAACCCAAUAGAUGUAAUUAAUUCCAAUGAAUCUUCUAAUCCGUUUUCUUCAUAAAUACCUAAAAUCCUCUCAUCAACUUGCAAUGUACCUAACUUGCAUAAUUUUCCUUCAAUAUUAUAUAAUCUUUUUCUUUCUUUUCUUUUAAAAUCAUCAACUUUUUUAUACAUAAUAUUUCCAUUUUCCAAAAUACCAAUAAAACUCGCAUCAAAGGCACCUUCAUCUUACGAGAGUACCUCCUCUUUUGCACCUCCAUAAUCUCGCUUUAUAGUUGUACCUCCCUAAAAUCCUUAAAUCAUUCAACAAUCAUUGGCAAUGGUUUCUCCCUCAACCUAUCUCGAUUCCGUUCAUGGUUAGGAAGUACUGUUAGAAAUUGUACAGCUUUCCUCCCAUCUUUGCUAUGUACCCUUGCAUAAGUAGAACCAUCUUCAAGUACUUUUGUUUCCAUCCAUGUUGCCGUAAUAUAAGGUUGUCCUAAAAUCAACGGAUAAGACGUUGUAUCUUGAACAAAGAAAUGUUGCUCCGUCGUAAUAUCUCCAAUCCAAAUUUUGACAUAAAGACAAGCUCCAUAUAUUUCACCCUAUGUAUUAUUAGCUGCUCGUAUUGCCUAUCCAUGUUCCAUAUCAAUUGGCCAUUUUUGCUUCUUAUAAAGAUCUUUAGACAUAAGAUUUAUUUCAGAACCAUGGUUGACUAAAGCAACAAUUCGUUCUUCUAUAUCUCCUACUUUCACCAAUACCUCAGUAGUUGCCUUUGCCCAAUGCUUUUGAGUAUAAUGGCUCAAAGUUUCCAUUUCCUUAUCACUAUAAUCUUUGAAAUGUACUCGUUGAUUAUACCCAUUUUUUUUCAUUUGUUGGUUGCUUGUAACUAAUAUCAACCUCUUCUUCAUCUUUAUAUAUUUUUGCAUCAAUAGCAUGAUUCAUUCCAAUUUCGCCCAUUAAUUGCCUCUUUUGCUUAAUGCUGUCAAUGAUAACAUCAUGAAACUCCUUCUUUACAAUUUCCAAAACUUCUUUCAAUAUGAAUUCCACCUUAGCAUUUAAUAUACAUUCUUCCAAUACCCCUUUCAAAUUUGUUGCCGCUUCAAUGUCAGAAAGUAGCUUAUAAGCAAUUGAUUUGCCCUUAUCUUUUGUCUCCCUUGUUUUUUCUUCCAAUGAUGCUGAGGUAUCAUUUAUAGGCAAUUCUUAUGAAGCUGCCUCCCGAGCCAUGUCUCCUCGAGUUUGCCUCUUAGAAGAAUUUCCUUCUCUUAUAUCAUCAAAAUUUCGUUGUCUCUUUUCUUCUAUCAAAGCUUUAUGUUGGCUCUUAGCAAUAUAUGCAUGAACUGAAAGAGACUCAAUAGGAUCCUUCCAACCUGUUGCACCUCAUAUUGUAGCUGCAGUCCUCAAUAACGCUUCUCGAGGUAAUUUCCCUUCUUACAUUGUAGAAAUGGCAAAAGUCCAAAACUCACUAGUUUCCGUACUUCCACCAAGGUCAUCAUCUACUCUAGCACCAUAACUUGCACUUUCUUGUGCUGCUGUUUCAUGCUCUUUUAAGUAAUCUUGAACCAAUGCUCUCAUUCUUCCUUUGCCAAAAUUGGUUUAAAAAAGAUCCUCCCUAUCUUUUAAUGCUAUCUUUCCAUCUUUUUAGCAAAUAAUUUCUUGCUGUAUCAUAUUAUUAAAUUCAUUGCAAUCUUUCCUAGUGUGUAAAGCAUCAUUACACCAAAUGCAUCUUUGUACAUAUCCUUGUUUUGAAACAUUCUUCAAAUUGUUUGUAGAAGUAUUUUCUUCAAGUCUUGCCAAUUUGAUUUGAAGAUUUGGCAUUCCUCGUAUAAUUUCUUCCAUCUCCAUAUCUGCUUUCUUUGAUAAGGAUGUCGAAGGUUGAACUGUAGGCAUUGUUGGUGGUGUUGUACAUACUGGAGCUUUGGGUGCUUGUACUGUUUUCAGAAUAUUACUCCUAUCCUUCCUCCUUUCUCUUCUUGCAAGCAACCCUACCGCAUCUUCAAUAUUCUUCCACUCUGUUGUCAAUCCUUCAUCUUCUUCUUUGUCUUCAAGAAGGAGUUUCAAUUUUCUUUGUAAUUCUCCAUCAGUAGCUUGAAGAAAUAGAUCAAAUUUAUUCGACUCCAAUGUCAAUUUUUCUACCUUCGAUAAUUGAGAGUAUUGCCUCUCAAAUUUCCUUAGUAGCUCUGUUGCUUGCAAAUUCUUAUUAGGCCGUUCAAUCCAUUCCAGAAACAACUUCUUAGUAACGUGAUCAACAUCUUUCAAGAAAUAUUCGUCUUUCAAUGCAUGUGAAAAAACCUCCCAUGAAUUCCCAUAACAAUCCGAAAUCGAUGUAAUAUGGUCUCUUAUCUCUGGUAUCGUAGCAAGUCCAAAUAAUUCAACCAUUUUCUUCUCAGAAACUUGAUUUAAUUCCAUUUCACGAACAUAACAUCUUAAAUACCUUGAAAUAUUCCUUCUAUUAAAUUGAUCAAUUUUAUUGACCACUGCUUGCAAUGCUUUAGUUGCCAAAGCUUCCUUUCGAUUAUUGCUUUGUUGUUGCUGCAUUGAUAAUGAGAAGGCUUAAAACAUACUAGCAAUAGACGGAUCCAUGUCCAUACCUUGUCCUUUAGAAGAACCUCCACCAGAAACUCCUUCCAAAGAUCCUUCAGAAUUUUUAUUUUCGUUCUCUUUAAAAAUAAAAAUAAAAUCAAACAAAAUCCAAUACCUUCUACCUCAAGCUUUCAUGUCGGGUUCACCACUUAUGUCGUAUUACGUGCUUUCCUACUCGAGAAUGCACCGAACGUAUAGCUGUAGAAGGUAGUAUGGAGAUUUGCUAAUAUUCAAGCAGUCUAUCGAUUUUUGACUGUUGGAAUAUAAAUGAUUGUAAGAAUAUACCAUAAAUCUAUAUGGAUGUCCUUUGACUACUUGCCUAAAUCCUUUUUGCCACAAUCGGUAGGUCUCUAGAUGUUACAGAGAACCCCGAACAAUCCAAUCUGCUAAUCUCCGAUACCGCUUUAUACUCACGAUCUUGUAUCCAUUGAUUGUCUUGUUAGAUUAACCCAAAAAUUUUCAUUCACUCCACAUACUCAAUCCUAUAGACACCCUUUUAAUUCUUCAAUCACAGAUGUAACUUCGAUUUCACAAAAUAGUCAAGAGUAAUCACACCCACUUCAUUAAAACCCCGAUUCACCAGUACAACACAUCGACCUUUUAGUAUUGAUCGCCAGAAGUCCCUUUUCUGACCCCUACACAAAAAUUUUGUAUCCUCCUUUUUUCUUAACCUCCCUAAUUUUCGAAUCUCUGAAUCCUCUCCUCCACCCUAACCAUUUCCGAAUGGUUUUUUUUUUUUUUCUCUCUUUCGGAAAAAAAAUUAAUCCAGUUCACCAAUAUAACACUGACUUUCAGCAACGAUUGCCUCUGUCUUCCCUAAAAUCCUAUGAAAAAAAUACUCCAAUUCUCUGUCUUUUCCCCCUCCGAAGCAUGAAGCUCGCUCUCUGACCCUUAAAAUCCUAAUUCUCUCCUUCCUUUAUUUCUUAAUCUAUCCUCUUCUUUAACCUUAAUUCUUUCCUCUUUCAAAUCCUAGCCUCUGAAUUUCUUCAAUCUUCCAUCUUCGAUCCGGAAUUGGCUCUGCUGUCAGAGCUUUCUCCUCCAUUUUUUGCCUUUUAAAAAGUUCUUUUUUUGAAAACAACGUUCCCUGAAAUGGCACAGAGAACAGGACAACCUAAAACGGAAUCGAAACCUCCGUAAUCGAGACUACAUUGAGUCACUCGACCAAUUCAGGUCUCAUAUUGGCUAAGAGGCCCGUAGUAAGUCCUGGAUGUUCCCGUAAUUGGGUCAAAUUGGUCCUUCGCAUCAAACUCGCUCAGUCAUCAAUUUAGUCCUUUCAAUUCUGUUGACUCCCACUAUUGGACUCGAAUAGAGCAUUUCGUUACUGAUAAGUAUGCCUUGACCGAUUGUGACGGGGUGUUUGAAAUUGGCCCUUGAAUAUUGGCACUGGAAUCGAUCAUUGCUCCCAAUAUUCGAGGUAACUGAACAUUAAUAAAAGUCCCCUUUCUUUAUAUUUUUACGGUAUACUCGUGUUACAACAUGACAAUGAAAGCAGUGGUAAAUGCAAUAUACAUAAGAAAUAGGUGUUUUAUAAGUAUACUUACAUCAAUGACUCCGGAAGAAGCUUGGAGUAGAAAAAAACCUUGUGUUUCCUACAUGAAGACCUUUGGAUGCAUAGCAUAUGUAAAGACACCAGAUUGUAUGAGAUCAAAUUUGAUGCAAAAGAUAUAAAAUGUGUGUUUGUUGGAUAUUAUGAAGGUACAAAUGCUUAUAGGUUAAUGUAUUUUGAGACCAAAAAGAUCAUCAAAAGCUAUGAUGUUGAAUUUUUGGAAUACAAGAGUACUUGUGAGCACUUAGAGAUGUGUCCAAGUAGGAGUAAUAGUGUAUUUGUGGACAUAUCUUCAAAUUCAACAAAGAAGGAAGAAGUCGAAGACAAUGAUGGUUGUAAAGAUGGAAAUGAAGAUGAAGAAGCAAAGAAGGUGGAGAAAAAGGCCUUUAAAAAUACUAAAACAAGCAAUGAAGAGCAUGAAGAUGUUGAUGAUGAUGGUGAUGAAGAUUAUCAACCUUUGACUAAAAAAAGAUUAUCUACAAAAGAAAAGAAGGUUCAAUGAGACCAUAGAAUGCAACAAGUUGAGGCUUCUCCAAAUGAAAGGAGGUGUCCUUUGAGAGAUAGAAAACAAUGUAGUGAAUGGUGGAAGAAUCACAUCUUUCCUCAAGUAAGUGAAGAACAUGCCAAUGUUACAUUUCUUGCUAAUCUAUUGAAUUUAUGUAAUGCAAUGAAGUCCACACAUUCUUUGAAGUGGGAGAAAGCUAUGGAAGAAGAUUAUCAAUUACUCAUGGAUAAUGGAACAUGGAAAUUGAUUGAACUUCUACCAAAUCAAGCUUCAAUUGGUUGUAAGUGGGUGUUUAGAAUGAAGAAGGAUGCAAUGAGCAAUGUCGUGAGGUAUAAGGAAAGAUUAGUUGCUCAAGGCUAUUUACAAGUUAUUGGUAUUGAUUUCAAUGAGACAUUUGUUCACAUGGCCAAAUUCACCACCAUUAGAACCAUUGUGGCAAUUAGGGCAGCAAUAGACUUAGAGAUGCAUUAAAUGGAUCUGAAGAUGGCUUUCUUGAAUGGAGAGUUGGAAGAAGACAUCUACAUAGAUCAACCUCAAGGAUUUGUUGAAGAAGGCAAGCAACACCUUAUUUGUAAGUUAAAAAAAUCCUUGUAUAGGCUCAAGCAAUCACCAAGGAUAUGGUACCAAUGCAUUGACACAUUCUUUGUGAAUGAUGGAUUUGUGAAAAGCGAUACUCAUCAUUCUAUGUAUGUCAUGCAAUCAAAAGUCUUCUUACUGAUUGUUAUUCUUUAUGUUGAUGAUUUAAUCAUCUUGACUAAUACCUUAAAAAAGAUGGAUUGGUUGAAGGUAAAGCUAGCAAAAGAAUUUGAGAUGAGUGAUUUGGAAGAGCUCUGCUAUUGUUUAGGAGUGGAGUUUGUGAGAGAUCGAGCUAAGAAGAUCAUUACGUUGAACCAAAAUAUAACAUAUAAUAAAAAUUGGCCUUAAAUUGAUAUUAGAAGUAUAAAAAUUUUAUAGAAAUUUUUAUAAUUUAUGCAAAAAAAAUUAACUGUUUUAAGAAUUAUUAGAGUAAAUUUUAAGAUUUUGAUAAAAAUAAUUUUUACUACUUUGAAAAGCCAAUAUGAAAAAAUAGAAUAAAAUUUUAGGACCAUAAAAUAUUUCAAUUUUAAUUAGAUGUUUUAGAAACACCACGAUGAAGUCAAAAAUCCAUAAAUAUUAAUUCUACUAAUAAAAAAUGGAAGGAUCCAUAGCUAGUAUAAUCCAUGUAGAAAGAGAGGUGUAAAAAUCACAUAUGGAUUGUAGCACCUUGAAUGUAGUUAGGAAGAUAAGAAUAAGACCUCAUAGUAUAAUUCUUUAUAUUGAUUUUUUCUUUUUUUGCUAAUAAUCUAUCUCUUCAAGAUAGAUAAACUUUUAAGAAGUAAAGAUAUUUAAACUUGGGAUAUCCAUAUAAUCUAGUAAUAUCCAUAUAAUCUAGCAACAAAGAGAAGAAUCAUUUGAUGUUAAAUUAGUAUCAUUCUUAACAAAAAAUUAAAAAUUAAAAAUUAAAAAAAUUUGAAAAUUAAUCAUCCUAAGUUAUUAAGAUUUUUAAGAAAAAAAUAUCAUAUUUAUUAAUAGAAUUUUUUUUUGUUUGGUCUUUAAAAUACUCUUAUAAACUUUGAAUAUGUGAUUGAAAAAUUUCUUGCUAACCAAGACUUUGAAAAAUACUAAAAAGAUGAUUUUAUUGUAUUUAUCAAAGACAAUAAUAAACAUCAAAAAUACUAAUAAUAAAUUUUAAUAAAAUUUAAUAAAUAUAAAUUAAAAUUAUACUUUAAGAAAUAUAAAUUCUAUUAAAAUAUGGUAGAGUAGCUUGGAUAUAUAAUAUAUCCAAGAACAUUAAAUGUAAUGAUUAGAAAGAUAGAAGCUAUAAUAUUUAUGCCAAGAUCACUAAAUAUAAGUUAAUUGCAUAUAUUUUUUGAAUUUUAUACUAAUUAUAAAAAAAUUAUAAAGAUAUUCAAUAUAAUUACAAAAACUUUAACUUAUAUUGACAAGAAAUGAUUAACCUUGAAUGUAGAGUAAGAAACAAGAAGUUCUUUUUAUAGAAUUAAAAAAAAUGCUUAAAAAUAUCACUAAUCUUAUAAAAAUCUAUUCUAAGAUGGUCUUAUUAAUCAUAAAUUAAUUUAAAUAAUUAAAAAAAUAAAACAUUAUUAACUCAAUUAUAUGAUGAUGAUAAAGAAUUUAUAAUUGCCUAUGCCAAUAGGUAAAAUGGCAUUAUUGAAGCUUUAAAGGUAGGCCUUAAUGAAAUGAAAAUGUGAAUUUAAAAUAAUACAUAGAGUUGAUUUAGUCAAUAUAGUUGAGAUGGUUAAAAUCUCAAUCUAUAUUAAAUCAAAAACACUCUAUAGGACCUAGAUGGAAUAUAAAAAUAAAUGAUAGACAUUUUCAAAGUAGAAUUAUCUUAUAUAACUUAUUAUCUUGGCAAAAAUUAACAACAUUAUUUAGAAAUCAAUUAUUGAAGCAACAAUAGAUAAAAAAAUUGGUAAAGAAACUAAAGGCACUAAAAAUAUUUUAAAAGAUGGUAUAAUAUUGAACUAAUUAAAGAGAGAAUAACUGACUAAUAUAUUGAAUACCAAAGAGAAUAAUAAAAUCUUCCAAUAAGCUAAAAGAUUUGUAUAGGAAGGAAGUACUUUUAAAAAGGUUGAAUGGCAAUAAAUAAGUAGUAUCAAAACUUCAAAACAUGAAAUUGAUCAAAUAUGUCCAUGAAAAAUUAGAUAAAUUUAGAAUUCAAAAGAUGUAUAAACAAUUACAAUCUCACUAUUGAUUAAAAAGCAUGCAAUUACAAGAUCAACAAUUGGUGUCAAGGAUACAAAAUCAAAGAAGAUACAUAAACUUGUAGAAUCUAUGUCAAAAAAAAAGUAACAAAAUAGAAGAAAGUAUAUAUAUUCAAGGAAGAACUAGAAUCGCUAUUGCAAAAGACUAGAAAACAUGAGACUCUUGAAACUAGACUAAAAGUAAGAAAAGAGUUGAGAAGAGUGAGGAAGGCCUCUUUCUUGCCUCUAUAUAUACUACUUAACUAAGAAUUAUGUAGCGACAUGCUAUAGGACCUCUAAUAUACAACCAAUUUGUAAGACACAUGUCUAAUUUGCAAGGUAAGUUUCCUAAGUGUAUGCCAUAUAUCCAAUUUAUACUACAAGUAGUCAAUAUGUCGACAUGUGGCCUCUUUGUUGGCCAAGUUUUCAACCUAUCAAUCACCUAUAGACAUGUAUAAAGUCAAAGUAGCAUCUGUAAAGCUUCUAGAAAGCUUCCUACAAGAUAUUAUCAUAUUUAUCUACUUUGACUUACUUCUACCUAUUCUUAUUAUCUAGAUAAUUAUUAAGGUAAAUAUGUAUGUCUAUGACAUUAUCCUCCCUUUUAGAGACAAGUUCUAUGAGGAGUAGUGAUUAUGUUGAUGAAGUCCAAGAUGCACCAAACUAUAUUUGCCACAUACUCUGAUCUUUGUUCCCUUCGAAGGUAGUUAAUAGGUCCCUUCAACCAUUGAUAAUAUCUCAUAUCAGGGCAAAAAGAUCACCUUAAUAUUUGAUCAUUAUUAAGGCCUUCAUAACUUCUUUCAAAUAAAAUAUUAAUAAUACCAUCAAGACUGGUUCUUAUCUCUAAAAGUAUCACUAAACACUGGGAGUCUCUUCCAAGGUUGUGAUAUCAAACGUAUUGUAUCUUGCCAAUUAUUCAAGAAAGAAUAUGUCGUUCUUGAGGAUCUUCAUCUCGAUUUUAUUAUCUCAAAGGUUGUAAUAAUCACAAUGUCUCAUCUAAUAGCUCAGCAAAUGAUAGCUCUUGAGUUCAAUCUCCUAGUUGUUGGUUCUCUAUCUCCUAAGCACUAAAAAAUCUAAACAAACAAUGAUACAAGAUAGAAUGAAAUCUCUAUUGGGCUUACUUUGCUUUAUAAUAAAGAAUUUUUUGACUCUUCAUCUUGAUUUUUGAUGGAUGUCGUUGAUAAAAAGCUUUAACUUUAGCUAAUAUAUUUGCUAGAUUCCUCAAUGGCUUCCAUGUGCAUUCAUUAAUGUCAUAUCUACCUCAAUAUACUACAUAUUCUAACCUAUUUUGGCAUCGCCUUAAAUCUAAUAUUUCUUCUAUCUCAAAUUCUUCAUUAUUGUCUACUUCUAUAUGAAGUGAUGGAUAUCAAUAUCUUGAAAAGAGUUCUCUAAAACCUUAAUAAAAACUAUGUUCCUCUAUCUGAUAUAAUAUUCUUUGACAAUCCAUAAUAGUGAUGGUUGUUAUCAAGGACGAGUUUAGCUGUUCCUUUACUUGAGAUAGAUUUUGUAUAUAAUACAAAAUGUGCCAUCUUCAUGAAAUGAUCUACAAUCAUGAAUAUGGAAUCAUAUAAACUUGAAAUUAGAAGGUCCAUGAUAAAAUCUAUAGAGACAAAAGGCCAUGGUUGUUCUAGUAUAGGUAAUGGUUGGAGGAAUCCAUAAGAUCAAUGAUGAGGAGUUUUUAAUCUUGAACAAAUUUCACAUAUUUGUAAAAAUUCUUUAACAACCUUCUACAUUUGAGGCUACCAAAAAUCUCUCGAUAUAAGUUCUAAAGUAUUAUUAUAUCCAAAAUGUCCUAUUACAAGGAAAUUGUGAUGAGCUCCAAAAGCACGUAAUUGUGCUUCUCGUUUUGGAAUAUAUAAGCAUCCUUUGAAAUAGAGUAGAUUCUCCUUAAAUUCAAACUUGGAAGUAUCUUGAGACUUAGAAGAAUUAUUUUUAAUAUCAUGAAUAAGAAGGUCUAAAGACAUACUUGCUUGGAUCUACAAGAAAAAAGUCAAAUCAAUAAUUAAUAUUGAUUUCAUUGCUUGAAGAUGAAAUUAUUCUGGCUUUAGUAAAAUUAUCUUUUAUUGGUCAAAAGUUGCUUCUCUUUCUUCUGGUAUAAGAUAAGAACGUCUAGAAAUAACAUCAAACAAACCUUAUUUUUUUUUUUGGCUGAUAAGUGAUAUUGAACUGAAAUCUUAACAAAGACAUGCUCCAACGAGCUUGGCAACGAUUCAAAACAUGUAUUGACAUGAAAUACUCGAGGUUCUUAUGAUCCGUAUAUAUUAUGAUUGGACUUGAAGUGCCUCCUAAAUAAUGAUGUUAUUCUUGAAAAGAAUCCAUGAUUGCAAAAAGUUCCUUGUCGUAGAUUUCAUAAUUAAUCUUGGCUGUUGAAAAUUUUCUUGAAUGAAAAGCUACUAGAUGAAAUUUUUCAUUUGCUCCUAUUUGUAACAAGACUGCACUAAGGAGCAAAGUCAGAUGCAUUUGUUUCCAUAAAAAAUGCUUUCGAAAAGUUGACAUGAUGCAAAAUUGGUACAAAAGUAAAAGCUUUCUUCAAACUUGAAAUGAUGCUUCUGCUUCUUUAUUCCACUCGAGUUUGUCUUUACAAGUUUAGCAUGUAAGUAGCAUUGUAACUUGAGAAAAGUUCUUAAUAAAGAUCUGAUAAUAAUUGGCAAAUCUCAAAAAGUAUUGUAUAUCUCUUAUUAUUUUUAAAAUCUUCCAAUGUAUGAUUGUAUGAAUUUUUUUAGGAUCCAUCAUGAGACCAUUGUUUGAAAUGAUGUAUUCUUAGAAGUCAACUUGAAUAGUAUAGAAUACAUACUUUUCCAUCUUGGCAUACAAUCUCCAAUCUCUAAUUUUUAUAACACACAACAAACAUGAAUUCCAUAUUCUUCUGUGUUCUUAGAAUAGAUUAAAAUAUCGUCUAAGUAACAAACAAAAAAAUCAUCUAGAAACUUACAAAAAAUAUCAUUCAUAAGAUAUUAAAAAGCAGCUGAUAUAUUCGUGAGUCCAAAUGGCAUGACAUUAUGUUUAAAGUGUACAUACUUUGUUCAAAAUGCAGUCUUCAAUUCAUCUCCUUCUUUAAUGUGGACCAAAUUGUAUGCUCUUUGUAGAUCUAUUUUUGUAUAGAUCUUAGCUUGAUUUAAUUGAUCAAGAAUUCUAGAUAUCAAACAUAGAAGAUAUCUAUUCUUGAUGGUAAUCUUAUUGAGUCUUCAAUAAUCCACACACAUUUGUAAUGAUCCAUCUUUUUUCUUCACAAAUAAGAUAGGAGCUCUUGUAAGAGAUUUUGAAUGGCGUAUGAAAUUCUUGGCCAAGUUCUCAUCAAUGUACUUCUUGAGUUCAGCCAACUCAUUUUGUGAUAAACUAUAGAUAGGAUAAAAUAGCGGUUGAGUUUUUUCUUUAAGAUUGAUUGAGCAAUCAUAUGGACAAUACUCUGAGAAAAUAUCUACAUUCUUUUUUUCAAAAAAAUCUUUAAAAUCUUGAUAUUGAAUUUGAAUUUGACUUGAAAACUUUUCAUUAUUUAAGAUGGGUGUGGCAUAAAUAAUAAAAGAUGAUCUUUCUUUUGUAGCAUGCAAAAAAUCUUUUGUAUCUACAAGUACAAGUUUGACUACACUAGACUCAUGGCUUUCUACUAGAUUAGAAAAACUCUUAAUGAUGUUUGAAGAAAAGUCAAGUUUAAAGAAAUUCAAUAUAUCAUAAGAUUAUAUUUUUUUAGCCAUGAUAAAUCUAAAAUAACUGGAUUAGAAAGAGAUCUAAUUAUAUUAAAAAUUAUGCAACUAUUAUGACCAUUUAUUACUACAUCUAUAGGAAGUAUUUCAUGAAUAACAUCUCUAAAAGAUAACGGACGACCAUCUAUGACUUCUACGAGUACGGAUUUAGUUUUUUGUACUAAUUAUAUAUUAUGACUUUUGACAAAUUCUUCAUCUAAAAAACAAGCUAAGGCUCUUGAAUCUAUUAAGGCAGAGGCUUUGUAAUUAUUAGAUCCUAAAAGUACAUCUAUUGUAAAAUAAAGAUAGAAUUUUGAGGAGAAAAUAGGACCUUCAUUAGGAAUUGUAUAAGAUUCCAUGUGCAUGGUUCCUAUUGUAGGUGAAUAAAUUUGCUUUCCGACAUGUUUUCAUCUUUGACAGCAAUACUCUUUAUUUAUUAGUUGUGCUAUUUCUUUGAACAAUAUUAAGCAAUGUACUUAGCUUCUCCAUACUAUAAAUAUAGUACUUCUUGACAACGAUAAAUCUUUUCUUAUUUGGUAAGAAGUUUAAAACGUAUUGUAUCAAUUUGCAUGUCUUCUACUUAUAAAUGUUUAGAUUGAAAAGUUGUUAGUAUUGUCAUUGAAUUGUAAUAAUGUUGAGGUUUUCUUAUGUGAUUCUCACAUCGAAACUCAAAAAGCCAAUUAUCAUAUUUCACAAUAAAGUCAAUUGCUUGAUUCAAUGUCUAAGAAUUAGGUAAAUUGACCAUUAAUUUCUCUACUUCGUAUUGUAAUUUGUAGAAAAAUUGGCUAUUCAGUGCUACAUCAUUCUACUUGAUAUUUGUCGCUAAUUGUCAAAAUUGUGAAGUGUAUAAUGUCAUUGAUCAAUUGCCUUAUCCCAAGAUAUGAAACUUGUUGGUUGUAACAUGGAUUACAUCAUGUUUUCUAUACAUAGAUCAAAACUUUGCUAAGAAUACUUCAAAAUUAUCUAAUAUUGGAACAUAUCAUUCAAAAAAUAAUGAAAAUCAUGAUAAAACAAAACAUGAAAGUAGUAUUCUAAUAAACCUAAUUUGUGAUCCUUGAGUUGCAUAACUUUGAGGUUGUAGUUCAAUCACCAAUUGUACCUAAUUGAUGAAUCCUCAAAACUAAGAUAUUGUGCCAUCAAACUUUUCACAGAAUCCAAUUUUUUGUUCCUUGAAACUUAAAUGAUGUUCCAUUGUAGGAGUAAUGGUAUGACUUGGUGUAGAUAGUGAAGCAACUCCAAUCAUCUCUAUAUCUUCAUUUCCUAAUAAUCUUAUUGCUCCUUGUGGCAAUAGAUUGAGUUGAUGCAUUGCAAGCAUUAACUCUCUCAUUUGCUCUUGCAUUUGAGCCAUUGCACUCUUCAUUUCAGUAAGCUCUGCCAAGCUAGCACAAUAGAAAGAAAGUUGUCUAUUCUCAUAGAAUACAAUACUUAAGAAUCAAGAAAAAUAAAAUAAAAUAAAAUCUAAAAAUAAUAUCAGUUUAGAAAAGGGUAAUUUGUAACUUUCAAUAUGCUUAUGUCUUAUCAAGAAAAAGGAAUAAUCUACUCUUAAUCAAGAAAAGACAAAGCUCUAAUAUUGUAUGUGUAUUCUUGUCAAUUUUUCAAGGACACAAAUCAGAAGAAGAUACAUAAACUCAUGGAAUUUGUAUAAAAAAAAAAGUGAGAAAAUAGAAGAAAGUAUGUAUAUUCAAGGAAGAAUUACAAUAGCUAUUGCUAAAGACUAGAAAACAUGAGACUCUUGAAAUUAGACUAAAAGCAAGAAAGAAAUUGAGAAGAGUGAAGAAGGCCUCACUCUUGCUUUUAUGUAUACUACUUAACUAAGAACUAUGUUGUGACAUGCUAUAGGAUCUCUAAUAUGCGUUGUUGUGUUGUAACACGUCUAUAUGAUGAAAAUAUAAAUGAAGAAGAUUUAUUAAUAUUUAGUCACCUUGGAUGUUAGAAGUGGCAGCCAAUUCCAGUGCAAAUAUUGAGAGGCCAGGUUCAGUCACCCAGUUACAGUCAAUCGGGGCAUACUCACCAAUAACAAAAUGCUUUGUUCGAUUCCAAUAACGGGAGUCAGUAAGAAGGAAAAGGACCAAUUCAACGUCGGGUGAGCCUGGUUUGGAGAGCCAAUUGGAUCUAAUUUCAAAAGACAUCUAAUCCAGGUCUUAUUACAGGCCUCUUACCUAGUAUGAGACCUGACUUGAUCGGGCAAUCCAAUGCGGUCCAAUUAUGGGGCUUUGAUUCUGUUUCAGGCUGUUCCAUUCUUUGUGUUGUUCCGGGAACAUUCUUUUUGUAAAAAGAUCUCUUAAAGGCAAAAAUAGGGGAGAGAAAGUAGGGGUCGGUUGUUCCAAUUCGGAAAGUUCAAGGCGGUAACAUGUUGUAACACGAGUAUAUCAUGAAAAUAUAAAGAAAGGAGACUUUUAUUAAUGUUCAAUUACCUCGAAUAUUGGGAGCAAUGACCGAUUCCAAUGCCAAUAUUCAGGGGCUAGUUCAGACACCUCGUCACAAUCAGUUAAGGCAUACUUACCAGUAACAAAAUGCUCCGUUCGAGUCCAAUAGUGGAAGUCAACAGAAUCAAAAGGACUAAAUCAAUGACUGAGCGAGCCUAACGCGAACGACCAAUUUGACCCAAUUACGGGAACAUCCAGGUCUUAUUAUGGGCCUCUUAGCCAAUAUGAGACCUGAUUUGGUCGGGCGACUCAAUGUGGUCUCAAUUACGGGGGUUUCGAUUUCGUUUCAGGCUGUUCUAUUCUCUGUGCCGUUUCAAGGAACGUUGUUUCUAGAAAAAGAACUUUUUAAAAGGCAAAAAAUGGAGGAAAAAGCUCUGACGCAGAGCCAAUAUUGGAUCCAAGACAGAAGAUUGAAGAAAUUCAGAGGCUAAGGUUUGAAAGGAGGAGAGAAAAAAACAUUCGUAAAUGGUUAGGGUGGAAGAGAGGAUUCAGAGAUUCAAGAAUUAGGGAGGUUAAGAAAAAAGGAGGAUACAACGUUUUUGGAUAGGGGUCAGAAAAGGGACUUCUAGUGAUCAAUGCUGAAAGGUCGAUGUAUUGUAUUAGUGAAUCGGGAUUUUAAUGAAGUGGGUGUGAUUAUUCUUGACUGUUUUGUGAAAUCGAAGUUACGUCUGUGAUUGAAGAAUUAAAAGGGUAUCUAUAGGAUUGAAUAUGCAGAAUAAAUGAAAUUUUUUUGGAUUAAUCUAACAAGACAGUCAGUGGAUACAAGGUCGUGAGUAUAAGCGGUAUCGGAGAUUAGCAGAUUGGAUUGUUCAAGGUUCUCUAUAACGUCUAGAGACCUACCGGCGAGGGCAAAAAGGAUUUCGGCAAGCAGUCGAAGGACAUCCGUAUAGAUUUAUGGUAUAUUCUAAGAAUCAUUUAUAUUCUAACAAUCAAAAACCGAUAGACUGCUUGAAUAUUAGUGAAUCUCCAUACUACCUUCUAUAGCCAAAUGCCUGGUGCGUUCUCGAGCACGAAAGCACGUAAUACGACAUAAGUGGUGAACCCGACGUGAAAGCUUGAGGUGGAAGGUAUUGGAUUUCGUUUGAUUUUAUUUUUAUUUUUAUAAAGAACGAAAAUAAAAAUUUUGAAGGAUCUUUGGAAGGAGUUUCUGGUAGGGGUUCUUCUAAAGGACAAGGUAUGCACAUGGAUCCGUCUAUUGCUAGUAUGUUUCAAGCCUUCUCAUUAUUAAUGCAGCAAAAAUAAAGCAAUGAUCGAAAAGAAGCUUUAGCAACUAUCAUGGACAUAAUCAUGUAAGGUAGUAAUUACAUAUAUAAAUAGAUAGAAGUAAGUAAAAGUAGGUAAAAGUAAAUUAAUUCUAUAAUAUUUAAUAUGAAAGCUACCUAGAAGCUUCAUAGACACUGCUUUGACUUCAUAGGUAUCUUUAAUUGACUUUUUGGAUUAGAAACGUCGUCAACAAGUUGGCCAUGUGCCACACAUGUUGUUAGCUUGAAGAUCAAGCUAACUAUGUGGUCCACACAUAGAAGAACUUGCCUUGUAAGUCAAGGCAUGUGUCCUACAAAAUCAACACAUAUUGGAGGUCCUAUAGAACGUCGCCACGUAAUCCCUAGUUUGAUAGUAUAUAUAGAGAUAAGAGUGAAGGCUUCUUCACUCUUGUCAACACUUUUCUUGUUUCCAGUCUAGUUUCAAGGGUCUCUAGUUUUCUUGUCUUUUGGCAAUACCUAUUCCAAUUUCGCUUUCAAUAUACAUAUUUAUUUAUUUAUAUUUUAUAAUUGUUCUUUGAGUGAAGGCUCACUUGUUUGAUAUAUUUUUUCAUCGAGUUCUUGUCCUUGACAAAGUGACAAGAAUACACCUACAAUAUCAGAGCUUUGUCUAAUCUUGAUUAAGAGUGGAUUAUCUCUUUUUCUUACUAAGAUAUAAGCAUAUUAGAAGUUGUGGAUUAUCCUCUUCUAAACUGAUAUUGUCCUUAGUAUUUUCUUUGUUCUCAAGUCCUCUCUUCUAUUUGUCUUAAGCAAUAUUAGACAUCUUCUCUCUUCUACGUGUUAUCAUGGCAGAACUUAUUGAAAUGAAGAGUGCAAUGGCACAAAUACAAGAGCAAUUGAGAGAGUUAAUGCUUGCAAUGCAUCAACUCAAUUUACCACCACAAGGAGCAACAAGAUUGGCAAGAAGUGAAGAUAUAGAAAUAGUUGGAGCUACUUCAACAUUUGUACCAAACCAUGUCCUUUUUCCUAUCGUAGAACACCCUUCAAAUGUUAGAGAACCAAGAAUUGCCCUAUCCGAGAAGUUUGAUGGCACCAGAUCCAAAUUUCGAGGAUUUAUCAAUGAAGUGUAACUUAUGAUUGAACUUCAACCCCAAAGUAAUUCAACUCCAGGAUUGUAAGUUAGAUUCAUUGGUACGCUUCUUUCAGGUUCAGCACUAUCGUGGUUUUCAUCUUUUCUUGAACGACGAGAUCUAAUAUUAGAUAAUCUAGAGGCUUUUUUGGCAGAUUUUUGAUCCAUGUAUGGAGAACAUAAUGUAAUUCGUGUUGCAACCAAUAAGAUCCAUAUUUUAUGACAAGGCAAUCGAUCAGUAAUAUUAUACGCUUCACAAUUUUGACAACUUGUAAUUGAUAUCAAGUAGAAUGAUGCUGUACUUAUUAGUCAAUUUCUCUACGGAUUAUAAUAUGAGGUAAAAAAAUUAAUGCUCAACUUACCCGAUCCUCAAACAUUGAGUCAAGCAAUUGACUUUGCUCUGAAGUGCAACAAUCAUCUUUUUGAAUUUCGAUUUGAGAACUGUAUAAGUAGACCUUAACGUUACUAUAAUUCAAUGGCAACACCAACACCUCUUCAAUACAUACAUUCGGAAGUAGAGGAUAUGCAAAUUGAUGCAGUACGUUUCAAACCUCUUACUUAGCAAGAAAAGACUUGUCGUCGUCAAGAAGGAUUAUGUUUAUAUUGUGGAGAACUAAAGCACAUUGCUCAAUAUUGUCCAAAGAAACGACGCAAUGACAAAAUGAGGAGUAUGGCUGUGAAAGAAGACAAUAUGUCAAAAAAUAAGUUUGUCCAGCUACAAUAGGGACCGUGCGACUAGAACCUUGUACAACAUCUAGUAAAGGUCUUAUUCUCUCCUCAGAGCCCUCUCCUUGUUUUAUAUUAAAUGUUAUUUUAGGACCUAAACAUUACAAAGUCUCUGCCUUAUUAGAUUCAGGAGCCUCAUCAUGUUUUUAAGAUGAAGAAUUUACUAAAAGACAUAGCAUAUCUUUAGUAAAGAAAACUAAACCUAUUCAUGUAGAAGUCAUUGAUAGUCGUCCAUUAUCUUUUGGAGAUAUUACUCAUGAAACCCUUCUUAUAGAAGUAAUAAUCAAUAGUCAUAAUAGUUCUGUAGUAUUUAAUAUCAUUAGAUCUCCCUCUAAUCCAGUCAUAUUAGGUUUAUUGUGGUUAGAAAAAUACAACCCUCAAAUAGAUUGGAUUUCUCAAACUCUUACUUUCUCUAAAAGUAUAACUAAUAGUGUAGUUAAUCAAGUAGUGAGUCAUAAGUCCAGUUCAAUUAAACCCGUAUUUAUAGGUGCAAAAGCUUUCUUGCAUGCUGCUAUGAAAGAAUCACCAUAUAUUAUUUAUGCCACACCCGUUUCUACUGGUGAAAAGACUUCAAGUGGCAUUCCAAGCCAAUAUCAAGAAUUUCAAGAUGUAUUCAAAAAAAAGAAUGCGUAUACACUCUUGCAAUAUCGUCCCUAUGAUUGCUCAAUUGACCUUCAAGAAGGAGCACAACCGCCAUUCGGACCAAUCUACAGUUUAUCACAAAAUGAGUUGGUUGAACUCAAGGAGUAUAUUGAAGAAAAUCUAGCCAAGAAUUUCAUACACUAUUCUAAAUCUCCGGCAGGAGCUCCAAUUCUAUUUGUGAAGAAAAAAGAUGGAUCAUUGCGGAUGUGUGUUGAUUAUCAAGGACUCAACAAGAUUACUAUCAAGAACAGGUAUCUACUACCUUUAAUAUAUGGACUUCUUGAUCAGCUGAAUCAAGCUAAGAUCUAUACAAAAAUAGAUCUUCGGAAAGUAUACAAUCUAGUACGCAUCAAAGAAGGAGAUGAAUGGAAGACUGCAUUUCGAACUAGGUAUGGACAUUUUGAAUACAACGUUAUACCUUUCGGACUUACAAAUGUACCAACAGCUUUUCAACAUCUAAUGAAUGAUGUUUUUCGAGAGUUUUUGGACGAUUUUUUGGUCUGUUAUCUAGACGACAUCUUGAUCUAUUCUAAGAAUCCAAAAAAAUAUGAACUUCAUGUUCGUCGUGUGUUACAAAAAUUAAGAGAUGCAGGACUCUAUGCUAAGAUAGAAAAGUGUAUAUUCUACACUACUCAAGUCGAUUUCUUAGGUUACAUCAUUUCAAACGAUGGACUUAUGAUGGAUCCUAAGAAAGUUCAAACUAUUAUAGAUUGGAAGAUCCCAAAAACAGUAAGAGAUGUCCAAUGUUUUUUGGAAUUUUCCAACUACUAUCGGAUCUUCAUCAAAGACUUCUCUCAAGUUGCAGCUCCACUUACACGUUUGACUUGUAAAGACAAACUCCAAUGGAAUCAAGAAGCGGAAAUUGCUUUUGGAUCUUUGAAGACAACGUUUGUUUCAGCACCAAUCUUGUAUCGUGUUGAUUUUUCCAAAGCAUUCUUUAUGGAAACAGAUGCAUUAAACUUUGCUCUAGGUGCGGUUUUAUCACAAAUGGGAACAAAUGAAAAACUUCAUCUAGUAGCCUUUCAUUAAAGAAAAUUCUUAGCAGCAGAAAUCAAUUAUGAGAUCCACGACAAAGAACUUCUUGCAAUUGUGGAUUCUUUUUAAGAAUGGCGUCAUUAUCUAGAAGGCGCUUCCAGUCCAGUCAUCGUGUAUACGGAUCACAAGAAUCUCGAAUAUUUUAUGUCAUCAUGCAUAUUAAAUCAUCGCCAAGCUCAUUAGAGCAUGUCUUUAUCAAGAUUUGAGUUCAUCAUCACAUAUCGGCCAGGAAAACAACAAGAUUUGUACAAUGCCUUAUCUAGAUGAUCUUAUCUUGCACCAAAAGAAGGAAAUGCAGCUUCUGAGCAACAAAGAAUGGUUCUCUUGAAGCCGGAGCAAUUUCAUCUUUGAGCAAUAAAAUCAACAUUGACUGUUGAUUUAACUUUUCUUAAGCAAGUCCAGUUAAGUAUGUCUUUAGAUCCUCUUGCUCAUGAUAUCAAGAAUAAUUCUUCUAAAUCUCAUGAUCCCUCUAAAUUUAAAUUCAAGAACAACCAACUCUAUUUCAAAGGACGCCUAUAUGUUCCAGAAGCAGAAGCACAUUUACGUAUUCUUCAAGCUUGUCACGACUUCCUAAUAGGAGGACAUUUUGGAUAUAAUAAGACUUUGGAGCUGAUACCUAGGGAUUUUUCGUGGCCUCAAUUGUGGAAGGCAGUUAAAGACUUUGUACAAUCAUGUUAUGUUUGCUCAAGAUCAAAAAUUCCUCAUCAUCAAUCUUUUAGACUUCUUCAGCCAUUAUCCAUUUCACAACAACCAUGGUCUUCUGUUUCUAUGGACUUCAUCACGGAUCUUCCAAUCUCAAGUUCUUAUGACUAUAUUCGUGAUAGUAGAUUGUUUUACCAAAAUGGCACAUUUUGUACCAUGUACAAAAUCUAUCACAGGUAAAGAAAUAGCUAAACUCUUUCUUGACAAUAUCUAUCGCUAACAUGGAUUAUCCAAGGAUAUUAUAUCAGAUAGGGGAACUCAAUUUGUAUCAAGAUUUUGGCGAACUCUUUUCAAGAUUCAUAAAGUGGAUAUAAAACUAUCUUUGGCAUUCCAUCCUCAAACUGAUGGACAAACAGAGCGUGUUAAUCAAGUUUUGGAGCAAUAUUUAAGAUGUACUAUUAAUUUCCAACAAGAUGAUUGGACAACUUUUUUACCAUUAGCAGAGUUUGCUUACAAAAAUACAGUAUAUUCUUCUACAAAACAAACACCUUUCUUUGCUAAUUAUGAUUAUCAUCCAAGACUUCAUACUUUUGACUUUUCAAAAGUUUAUAAUCUUGUUGCGAAAGAUUUAGCAGUUCAUUUAUCGGAACUACAUGCAACGAUGAAGGCACAGUUAAAAAAGGCUCAAGAACAACAAAAAGUCAAUGCGCAUGUCUAUCGAAAGGAACAACCAUCAUUCGUCUUAGGUGAUAAGAUAUGGCUACUUCAUCGCAAUAUCAAGACCACUCAUCCUUGUGACAAAUUGGACUAUCGAAGGUUGGGACCAUUUUCUAUUUUUGCACAAAUCAAUCCAAUUGUAUAUCGUUUACAUCUACCAGAGUCAAUGAAAAUCCAUCCAGUAUUCCACGUGUCUCUUCUUGAAUCAUACAAGACAGUGGACAUACCAAGAAGACGACAAGCUCAACCUCCUCUUAUAGAAGUAGACAAUAAUGAAGAGUUUCAAGUAGAAGAAGUUUUAGAUUCAAGGCGGCGUCGAAAUAAAUUUGAAUAUCUUGUCCAUUGGCAUGGAUAUGAUAUUAGUGAACACACAUGGGAGCCAAUAAAGAAUCUUGCAAAUGCAGCAAAGGCGGUGGAGGCUUUUCAUCGAUGACAUCCAUCAAAAUCAAGAUGAAAACCUUCUUUAUAAAAGAAACAACAUCUAGGCAAGAUAACAUUCUACAUUUACCUAAAUUGGUGGAAUUAUUAAAAGAAAAGAUGAAGAUGAAAAUAUUGGAACCCUCAUUUAAGCCAUAUUCUAGUCGAUGGUUUACGGUACCUUAGAAGAAUGGGUCACUACGGUUUAUUCAAGAUAUGCAACCGAUGAAUGUGGUAACUGUCAGGAAUGCAAGAAUUGGACAUAUUGUGGAUGAAUUUGUUAAGGCGUUUACAAGAAGGGCGAUCUAUUCAAUGGGUGUCUUAUAUUCAAGUUAUGAUCAAUUUCAACUUAUCGAAGGAAGUAGAGAUAUGACAACAAUGAGGACACUACUUGGAUUGGUUAGAAUGUACACUCUUCCUCAAGGCGCGACCAACUCAGUUGCGCAUAUGAUGAAUGGGAUGAAUAAGGUAUUGAGAGAUUUUAUUUCGAAGAAGACUAUGCCUUUUCCGGAUGAUGUUCCUAUGAAAGGGUGCAGAGAAGGAGACAAGGAUGAAACUUUAGAUAAGAGGGGGUGUUGCAAAUAUGUUGUUGAUCAUAUACAAGAUUGUGAGAAGAUUUUAACUCGGCUUGGAAAAGUUCAUCUUACAUUAUCGGAUAUGAAGUCCAUAUUUGGAGUACAAGAGGUUGUGAUUGUUGGACAUUUAUGUGGAUCUUACGAAAGAAAUUCAGAUCCCACUAAAGUUGAUGCAAUUGGAAGGAUGAAAGAGGAUUGUGAUUCUUUAACAGAGGUUCGCAGGUUUUUAGGUGCAUGUGUAUUUUAUCGAAUCUGGAUCCCUCAUUAUGCUCACAUAGCGGAUCCAUUAUAUGAACUGUUACGCAAGGGCUACCGAUUUAAAUGGGAAGAAAGGCAUAUUCAGACAAUGCAAAGAUUAAAGAAAUUAUUGAUGUCACCUCCAAUAUUGAAGAAGGUUGAUUAUUAGUGCUAUAGACCAAUGAUUCUUACUGUGGAUGCUAGUCUAAUUGCCAUUGGAUGGACUGUGGAUCAAGAUGAUUCAAGUGGGAAUAGAUUUACAGUUCGAUUUGGAGCUAAAGUUUUAAGUAUUCGGCAUCGUGCAUAUUCGCAAGUCAAAAGAGAACUUUAGGGAGUUGUUUCGGCUACGAAAGCUGAAAAGGACUAUUUGAUUGGGGUAGUAGUAGUAAUUGAAACAGAUUGCUUGCCAUUGCUUAGAAUGAUUAUUAACUGUUCGAUGCCAGAUAUUGCAAUGUUGAGAUGGAUUGCUUUUAUUAAGUCACUAAAUCCAAAAUUUAAGCAUUAUACUGGGAAGGAUAAUUUAAUAGUAGACAUACUAUCUCGAGCAAGAUACGAGAGGGAGGACGAAAUAGUUGAAGACAUUGAUGACGUCGGAUUGAAAUUCUAUUCAAUAUCAAAUCUCAACAGAGAAGACAAGCUAUUUCUUGAAGAAUCUUAUGAAGGAGAUUUAUUGGAUAUUGGUCAUUACUUGAAUACCUUGACUAAGUAAGAGAAUUGGUCUAUAAAAAAAUUCAAACAAAUAAGAAAAAAAGCAUAUGGAUUUUUGCUUUGAGAUGGAUUCUUAUAGAAGAGACCGAAGAAAGGAAUUGGGAUGCCACAACGAGUGAUAGGCAAAAAGGAAGAAAAACUAAAAUUAUUACAGGAGUUUCAUGAUAGUUUAUGGGCAGGGCAUAGAGGAAUCUGGGCUACUUUUGCUAAACUCAAGGAACGAUAUUGGUGGAAAAAUAUGUAUCGAGAUGUGCUUUCAUUUUUAGAGUCAUGUGAAAUCUGUCAAUUGUAUUCUAAUAUCCGACAUCGAGAUGGUCUUCAUCCUACGUAUCCUCUAGCUAUUCAUUUUAAAUGGGUUGUUGAUUUGAUUAUUAUGCUAGUUGGGUUAUGGCAGAUAAGAUAUUUGGUCUUAGCUCAUGAAAUUUUAUCAAAUCAAGUAAAAGGAAGAGCAUUGAGGAUAAAAUCUAUAGAGGGGAUUUGUAGGUUUUUGCUUGAAGAUGUCAUUUGCUGCUACGGAUGCAUAGAAAAAAUCACUGCAAAUCAUGGAGAAUUAAAUGCACAAGAAGCUCGUAAGUUCUUUGAAAGAUGUGGAGUUAAACUAUCACUGACUAUUGCUUAUAAUCUGGAAGUGAAUGCAAAAAGUGAACGUGGUCACCUACCGAUUGUGAAAGCAUUAAUUAAAGCUUGUAAUGGAAAAGUUAGAGAGUGGCCACGGCUUUUGUCAUUUGCAUUAUGGGCUGAUCGAACAACACAUAGUUCGGUGACAGGAUAUAUGCCAGUAGAACUUAUGACAGGUCAAAAACCAAUUAUGCCGAUUGAAGAAAAGGUACUUACUUGGAGUAUGCUAUCAUGGGAAGAUGGAUUGACUAGAGAAGAACUUUUGGCUAUUAAGAUUCGACAAUUGGAGCAAAGAUCGGAAGAUGUACAAAUAGCAUUGAAAAGGUUAAAAAGAGCAAGGUUACAAAACAAGGCAUGAUUCGAUAAGCAACAUCGAUUUAGACCUAAAGCAAUCGAGGAAGGUGACUUGGUACUUGUUUAUGACAAUAGUCUGGAUAAUCAACAUAGUACUUUGCGGAAAUUUAUAAAACGUUGGUUUAGACCAUAUGUAAUAACAACUGUUCAUGAUAAUGCGACUAACUCAUUACGGGAGUUAGAUGGCACAAGGUUAAAAAUACCAAUUAUAGGGAAGAGAGUGAAAUUAUUUAAACAAAGAUAUGCAGAAAUCAAUAUAGAAGACCUUAAUGAAGACAUAGAUAUUCCGCAAUGAGAAGAUGAAAUUGAUUGGAUAGCAGAGACGAUGAAGAUGGACUAGACGAAGAUUUAGAGAACAUAUUAUGAAUCAAACAGUAACUAGAUUAAUUGGUGCAUACUGGAGGAUGCACAGGUUUAGAGGGAGUGGAUGUCGUAUUGUAACACGUCUAUAUGAUGAAAAUAUAAAUGAAGAAGAUUUAUUAAUAUUUAGUCACCUUGGAUGUUAGAAGCAGCGACCAAUUCUAGAGCAAAUAUUGAGAGGCCAGGUUCAGUCACCCCAUUACAGUAAACCGAGGCAUACUCACCAAUAACGAAAUGCUCCAUUCAAUUCCAGUAACGGGAGUCAGCAAGAAGGAAAAGGACCAAUUCAACAUCAGGUGAGCCUGGUUCGGAGAGCCAAUUGGAUCCAAUUUCAAAAGACAUCUAAUCUAGGUCCUAUUACCGGCCUCUUACGAGGUAUGAGACCUGACUUGGUCGGGCAACCCAAUGCAGUCCAAUUAUGGGGCUUCGAUUCCGUUUCAGGCUGUUUUGAUCUUUGUGCCAUUCAAAGAACGUCUUUUUUGUAAAAGGAUCACUUAAAGGCAAAAAUGGGAGGGGAGAAAGCGGGGGUCGGCUAUUCCAAUUUGGGGAGUCCAAGGCGGAAGAAUAGGAUCUUCUUAGGGUAAAAGGGGAAGGUAGGUUAAAAAAUGGAUUUUUCGAGAGUCGGGGUUUUAGGUCGGAGAGCUAGUUUCAUGCUUUCGGAAAAAGAUAGAGAAUUAGGGUUUUUUUAUAUGUAUAGGGUUUUGGAGAGAAUGAGAGGAGGGGGUUGCUGAAAGUCAGUGUUAUAUUGGUGAAUUGGAUUUUUUAUUAUCGUAUUACGUGCUUUCCUGCUCGAGAACGUGCCGAGCGACUGGCUGUUGAAGGUAAUAUGGAGAUUCGCUAAUAUUCAAACAGUCUAUCGGUUUUUGACUGUUGGAAUAUAAACAACUGCAAGAAUGUACCGUAAAUCUAUAUGGAUGCCCUUCGACUACUCGCCAAAGUCCUUUUUGUCCCAGCCAAUAGGUCUCUAGAUGUUACAGAGAACCCCGAAUAAUCCAAACUGCUAAUCUUUGAUACCGCUUUAUACUCACAAUCUUAUAUCCACUGACUGUCUCGUUAGAUUAACCCAAUAAAUUUCAUUCACUCCGCAUACUCAAUCCUAUAGACACCUUUUUAAUUCUUCAUCACAGACGUAACUCGAUUUCACAAAACAGUCAAGAGUAAUUAAACCCACUUCAUUAAAAAUCUCGAUUCACCAUUACAAUACUGACUUUAACAACGAUUGCCUCAGUCUUCCCAAAACCCUAUGAAGAAAAAAACCCAAUUCUCUAUCUUUUAUCCCCUUCUCGAAGCAUAAAGCUAGCUCUUUGAUCCUUCAAAAAAUCCCCCAAAACUCUUCUCUCCUCUCAUUUCUUAACCUUAAUUCUGAAUUUCUUCAAUCUUUCGUCUUGGAUCCGAAAUUGGCUCCCGCCAUCAGAGCUUUCUCCUCCGUUUUUAUCUUUAAGAGAUCCUUUUACCGUAAACAAUGUUCCCUGAAAUGGCACAGAGAAUAAAACAGCCUGAAACAGAAUCGAAACCCCGUAAUCAGGACCACAUUGAGUCGCCCGACCAAUUCACGUCUCACAAUUCAGGUCUCAUAUUGGGUAAGAGGCCUGUAGAAAUCUGGAUGUUCCCGAAAUUGGUCCGCAUUGGGUUGUCUGACCAAGUCAGGUCUCAUAUUAGGUAAGAAGACCCAGAUUGGAUGUCUUGAAAUUGGAUCCAAUUGGCUCUUCGAACCAGGCUCACCCGUCGUUGAAUUGGUUCUUUCCCAUUCUGUUGACUUCCGUUAUUGGAAUCGAACGGAGCAUUUCAGUAUGCGCUGGCUGACUAUAACAGGGUGACUGAACCUGGCCUAUCAGUAUUUGCACUGGAGUUGGUCAUUGCUCCCAAUAUUCGAGAAAAAUGAAUAUUAAUAAAAGUCCCCUUACUUUAUAUUUUCAUGGUACACCCGAAUUACAACACGACAUCCACCCUCUCUGAACCUGUGCAUCCUCCGGUAUGCACCAAUUUAUCCAAUUGCUAUUUGAUUUAGAAUAUAUCCGCUACAUCUUUGUCUAGUUUGUCUUCAUCACCUUCAUUAUCCAAAUCACUUUCAUCUUCUAGCUGCGGAAUCUCUAUACCUUCAUUAAGGUCUUCCAUAUUCAUCUCCGCAUGUCUUUGUUUAAACAAUUUCACUCUCUUUCCUGUAAUUGGUAUUUUUAACCUUGUGCCAUUUAACUCCCGUAAUGAGUUAGUCACAUUAUCAUGAACAGUUGUUAUUACAUAUGGUCCAAACCAACGUUUUAUAAAUUUCCGCAAAGUACUAUGUUGAUUAUCCAGACUAUUAUCAUAAACAAGUACCAAGUCACCUUCCUCGAUUGCUUUAGGUCUCAAUCGAUGUUGCUUAUCGAAUCAUGCCUUGUUUUGUAACCUUGCUCUUUUUAACCUUUUCAAUGCUAUUUGUACAUCUUCCGAUCUUUGCUCCAAUUGUCGAAUCUUAAUAGCCAAAAGUUCUUCUCUAGUCAAUCCAUCUUCCCAUGAUAGCAUACUCCAAGUAAGUACCUUUUCUUCAAUCGGCAUAAUUGGUUUUUGACCUGUCAUAAGUUCUACUGGCAUAUAUCCUGUCACCGAACUAUGUGUUGUUCGAUCAGCCCAUAAUGCAAAUGACAAAAGCCGUGGCCACUCUCUAACUUUUCCAUUACAAGCUUUAAUUAAUGCUUUCACAAUCGGUAGGUGACCACGUUCACUUUUUGCAUUCACUUCCAGAUUAUAAGCAAUAGUCAGUGAUAGUUUAAUUCCACAUCUUUCAAAGAACUUACGAGCUUCUUGUGCAUUUAAUUCUCCAUGAUUUGCAGUGAUUUUUCCUACGCAUCCGUAGCAGCAAAUGACAUCUUCAAGCAAAAACCUACAAAUCCCCUCUAUAGAUUUUAUCCUCAAUGUUCUUCCCUUUACUUGAUUUGAUAAAUCUUCACGAGCUAAGACCAAAUAUCUUAUCUGCCAUAACUCAACUGGCAUAAUAAUCAAAUCAACAAUCUAUUUAAAAUGAAUAGCUAGAGGAUACGUAGGAUGAAGACCAUCUUGAUGUCGGAUAUUAGAAUACGAUUGACAGAUUUCACAUGACUCUAAAAAUGAAAGCACAUCUCGAUACAUAUUUUUCCACCAAUAUCGUUCCUUGAGUUUAGCAAAAGUAGCCCAGAUUCCUCUAUGCCCUGCCCAUAAACUAUCAUGAAACUCCUGUAAUAAUUUUAGUUUUUCUUCCUUUUUGCCUAUCACUCGUUGUGGCAUCCCAAUUCCUUUCUUCGGUCUCUUCUAUAAGAAUCCAUCUCAAAGCAAAAAUCCAUAUGCUUUUUUUCUUAUUUGUUUGAAUUUUUUUGUAGACCAAUUCUCUUACUUAGUCAAGGUAUUCAAGUAAUGACCAAUAUCCAAUAAAUCUCCUUCAUAAGAUUCUUCAAGAAAUAGCUUGUCUUCUUUGUUGAGAUUUGAUAUUGAAUAGAAUUUCAAUCCGACAUCAUCAAUGUCUUCAACCAUUUCGUCCUCCCUCUUGUAUCUUGUUCGAGAUAGCAUGUCUGCUACUAAAUUAUCUUUCCCAGUAAUAUGCUUAAAUUCCGGAUUUAGUGACUUAAUAUAAGUAAUCCAUGUCAAAAUUGCAAUAUCAGGGAUUGAACAGUUAAUAAUCAUUCAAAGCAAUGGCAAGCAAUCUGUUUCAAUUACUACUACUACCCCAAUCAAAUAGUCCUUUUCAGCUUUCGUAGCCGAAACAACUCCCUAAAAUUCUCUUUUGACUUGCGAAUAUGCACACUAAUGAAUACUUAAAAUUUUAACUCCAAAUCGAACUGCAAAUCUAUUCCCACUUAAAUCAUCUUGACCCAAAGUCCAUCCAAUAGCAAUUGGACCAGUGUCCAUAGUAAGAAUCAUUGGUCUAUUGCACUUAUAAUCAACCUUCUUCAAUAUUGGAGGUGACAUCAAUAAUUUCUUUAAUCUUUGCAUUGUCUGAAUAUGCCUUUCUUUCUAUUUAAAUCGGUAGUCCUUGCAUAACAGUUCAUAUAAUGGAUCCACUAUGUAAGCAUAAUGAGGGAUCCAGAUUUGAUAAAAUACACAUGCACCUAAAAACCUGCGAACCUCUGUUAAAGAAUCACAAUCCUCUUUCAUCCUUCCAAUUGCAUCAACUUUAGUCGGAUUUGGUUUUCUUCUAUAAGAUCCUCAUAAAUGUCCAACAAUCACAACCUCUUGUACUCCAAAUAUGGACUUCAUAUCCGAUAAUGUAAGAUGAACUUCUCCAAGCCGAGUUAAAAUCUUUUCACAAUCUUGUAUAUGAUCAACAACAUAUUUGCGACACCUCCUCUUAUCUAAAGUUUCUUCCUUAUCUCCUUCUGUGCACCCUUUUAUAUGAACAUCAUCCAGAAAAAGCAUAGUCUUCUGUGGAAUAAAAUCUCUCAAUACCUUAUUCAUCCCAUUCAUCAUAUGCGCAACUGAGUUGGUCACGCCUUGAGGAAGAGUGUACAUUCUAACCAAUCCAAGUAGUGUCCUCAUUGUUGUCAUAUCUCUACUUCCUUCGACAAGUUGAAAUUGAUCAUAACUUGAAUAUAAGACACCCAUUGAAUAGAUCGCCCUUCUUGUAAACGCCUUAACAAAUUCAUCCACAAUAUGUCCAAUUCUUGCAUUCCUGAAAGUUACCACAUUCACCGGUUGCAUAUCUUGAAUAAAACGUAGUGACCCAUUCUCGUUAGGUACCGUAAACCAUCGACUAGAAUAUGGCACAAAUGAGGGUUCCAAUAUUUUCAUCUUCAUCUUUUCUUUUAAUAGUUCUACUAAUUUAGGUAAAUGUGUCCUCGGUACUGGAAUCGGUCUUAGAUUCCAAAGUACAUGCAGUACAGUGAAGAUAACCAUAGGUGUUAUAAUAUUCGGAUCUACACACCCAAUUUCAUAAGAUUCGAAGGCAAACGAUCUACCUUGUUUAGCCAACAUCUUUCUGAAGCAAGUAAUUUCUUCCAGUAAUAAAGAACCAUCAGAACCAAUCUUCAAUUCUUCAAAAGUCUCUUUAAUAAACUGAUGUCCAAUACUCAUUGGAUCUCUUAAACUUGCUUCUUUUGAUGCUUCUCCCAUUUGUCCUUUAGAAUCUUUUGGCAAUGGUCUAGCAAUAGGCUUUACCUUCUUAUCUGCCGUUUUAUAUCUCGUCUCUACAGUUACUUCUGGUGCUUGAAAAGAUUCAAGUAUGAUAUAAACCUCUCUUGAAUGAAUCUCAAACAAUCUUAUCAUUAUCCCCUAACCCAAUAGAUGUAAUCAAUUCCAAUGAAUCUUCCACUCCAUUUUCUUCAUAAACAUCUAAAAUCCUCUCAUCAUCUUGCAAUGUACCUAACUUGCGUAAUUCUCUUUUAAUAUUAUAUAAUCUUUUUCUUUCUUUUCUUUUAAAAUCAUCAACUUUUUUAUACAUAAUAUUUCCAUUCUCCAAUAUACCAAUAAAACUCGCAUCAAAGGUACCUUCAUCUCGCGAGAGUACCUCCUCUUUUGCACCUCCAUAAUCUCGCUUUAUAGUGGUACCUCCUCAAAAUCCUUAAAUCCUUCAACAAUCUUUGGCAAUGGUUUCUCCCUCAACCUAUCUCGAUUCCGUUCAUGGUUAGGAAGUACUGUUAGAAAUUGUACAGCUUUCCUCCCAUCUUUGCUACGUACCCUUGCAUAAGCAGAACCAUCGUCAAGUACUCUUGUUUCCAUUCGUGUUGCCAUAAUAUAAGGUUGUCCUAAAAUCAACGGAUAAGACGUUGUAUCUUGAACAAAGAAAUGUUGCUCCAUCACAACAUCCCCAAUCCAAAUUUUGACAUCUGGACAAGCUCCAUAUAAUUUGCCCCGUGUGUUAUUAGCUGCUCGAAUUACCCAUCCAGGUUCCACAUCAAUUGGCCAUUUUUGCUUCUUAUAAAGAUCUUUAGACAUGAGAUUUAUUUCAGAACCAUGGUCGACUAAAGCAACAUUUGGUUCUUCUAUAUCUCCUACUUUCACCAAUACCUCAGUAGUUGCGCUUGUCCAAUGCUUUCGAGUAUAAUAGCUCAAAGUUUCCAUUUCCUUGUCACUAGAAUCUUUGAAACGUACUCGUUGAUUAUACCCAUUCUUUUCAUUUGUUGGUUGCUUGUAACCAAUAUCAACCUCUUCUUCAUCUUUAUAUAUUUUUGCAUCAAUAGCAUGAUUCAUUCCAGUUUCGUCCAUUAAUUGCCUCUUUCGCUUAAUGCUGUCAAUGAUAACAUCAUGAAACUCCUUCUUUGCAAUUCCCAAGACUUCUUUCAAUGUGAAUUCCACCUUAGCAUUUAAUAUACGUUCUUCCAACACUCCUUUCAAAUUUUUUGCUGCUUCAAUGUCAGAAAGUAGCUUAUAAGCAAUUGAUUUGCCCUUAUCUUUUGUCUCCCUUGUUUUUUCUUCCAAUGAUGCUGAGGUAUCUUUUACAAGCAAUUCUUGUGAAGCUGCCUCCCGAGCCUUGUCUCCUCGAGUUUGCCUCUUAGAAGAAUUUCCUUCUCUUAUAUCAUCAAAAUUUCCUUGUCUCUUUUCUUCCAUCAAAGCUUCAUGUUGGUUCUUAGCAAUAUAUGCAUGAACUGAAAGAGACUCAACAAGAUCCUCCCAACCUGUUGCACUUCGUAUUGUAGCUGCAGUCCUCAAUAACGCUUCUCGAGGUGAUUUCCCUUCUUACAUUGUAGAAAUGGCAAAAGCCCAAAACUCACUAGUUUUUGUACUUCUACCAAGGUCAUCAUCUACUCUAGCACCAUAACUUGCACUUUCUCAUGCUGCUGUUUUAUGCUCUUUUAAGUAAUCUUGAACCAAUGCUCUCAUUCUUUGUUUGCCAAAAUUGGUUUGAUGAAGAUCCUCCCUAUCUUUUAAUGCUAUCUUUCUAUCUUUUUAGCAAAUAAUUCCUUGCUGUAUCAUAUUAUUAAAUUCAUUGCAAUCUUUCCUAGUGUGAGAAGCAUCAUUAUACCAAAUGCAUCUUUGUACAUAUCCUUGUUUUGAAACAUUCUUCAAAUUAUUUGUAGAAGUAUUGUCUCCAAGUCUUGCCAAUUUGAUUUGAAGAUCUCGCAUUCCUCGUAUAAUUUCUUCCAUCCCCAUAUCUGCUUUCUUUGAUAAGGAUGUCGAAGGUUGAACUGUAGGCAUUGUUGGUGGUGUUGUACAUACUGGAGCUUUGGGUGCUUGUACUGUUUUUGGAAUAUUGCUCCUAUCCUUCCUCCUUUCUUUUUUUGUAAGCAACUCCACCGCAUCUUCAACGUUCUUCCACUUCGUUGUGAAUCCUUCAUCUUCUUCUUUGUCUUCAAGAAGGAGUUUUAAUUUCUCUUGCAAUUCUCCAUCAACAGCUUGAAGAAAUAGAUCAACUUUGUUCGGCUCCAAUGUCAAUUUUUCUACCUUCGACAAUUGAGAGUACUGCCUCUCAAAUUCCCUUAGUAGCUCUGUUGCUUGCAAAUUCUUAUUGGGCCGUUCAAUCCAUUCCAGAAACAGCUUCUUAAUAACGCGAUCAGCAUCUUCCAAGAAAUAUUCGUGUUUCAAUGCAUGUAAAAAAUACCUCCCAUGAAUUCCCAUAACGAUCUGUAAUCGAUGUAAUAUGGUCACUUAUCUCUGGUAUCAUGGCAAGUCCAAAUAAUUCAACCAUUUUCUUCUCAGAAACCCGAUUUAAUUCCAUUUCACGAACAUAACAUCUUAAAUACCUUGAAAUAUUCUUCCCAUCAAAUUGAUCAAUUUUAUUGACCACUGCUUGCAAUGCUUUGGUUGCCAAAGCUUCCUUUCGAUCAUUGCUUUGUUGUUGCUGUAUUGAUAAUGAGAAGGCUUGAAACAUACUAGCAAUAGAUGGAUCCAUGUGCAUACCUUGUCCUUUAGAAGAAUCUCAAUCAGAAACUCCUCCCAAAAAUCCUUCAAAAUUUUUAUUUUCGUUUUCUAUAAAAUAAAGAUAAGAUCAAUUGAAAUCGAAUACCUUCCACCUCAAGCUUUCAAGUCGGGUUCACCACUUAUGUCGUAUUACGUGCUUUUCUGCUCGAGAACGCGUCGGACGUAUGGCUGUAGAAGGUAGUAUGGAGAUUCGCCAAUAUUCAAGCAGUUUAUCGGUUUUUGACUAUUGGAAUACAAACAACUGCAAGAAUAUACCGUAAAUCUAUACGGAUGCCCUUCGACUACUUGUCAAAGUCCUUUUUACCCAAGCUGGUAGGUCUCUAGACGUUAUAGAGAACCCCGAACAACCCAAACUGCUAAUCUUCGAUACCGCUUUAUACUCACGAUCUUGUAUCCACUGACUGUGUUGUUAAAUUAAUCCAAUAAAUUUCAUUCACUCCGCAUACUCAGUCCUAUAGACACCCUUUUAACACUUCAUCACAGACGUAACUCGAUUUCACAAAACAGUCAAGAGUAAUCAAACCCACUUCAUUAAAAAUCCUGAUUCACCAUUACAACACUGACUUCAGCAAUGAUUGCCUCAGUCUUCCCAAAACCCUAUGAAGAAAAAAAAUCCAAUUCUUUGUCUUUUUUUCCCUUCCUGAAGCGUGAAGCUAGUUCUCUGAUCCUUCAAAAAACCCCCCAAAACUCUUCUCUCCUCUCAUUUCUUAACCUUAAUUCUAAAUUUCUUCAAUCUUCCAUCUUGGAUCCGAAAUUGGCUCCCGCCGUCAGAGCUUGGAUCCAAAAUUGGCUCUUGCCGUCAGAGCUUUCUCCUCCAUUUUUACCUUUAAGAGAUCCUUUUAUCGAAAAUAACGUUCCCUGAAACGGCACAGAGAACAGGACAGCUUAAAACAGAAUCGAAACCUCAUAAUCGGGACCACAUUGAGUUGCCCGACCAAUUCACGUCUCACAAUUCAGGUCUCAUAUUGGCUAAGAGGCUCGUAGUAACGUGGAUGUUCUCGAAAUUGGUCCGCAUUGGAUUGUCUGACCAAGUCAGGUCUCAUAUUGGAUAAGAGGACCCGGAUUGGAUGUCUUGAAAUUGGAUCCAAUUGGCUCUUUAAACCAGGCUCAUCCGUCGUUGAAUUGGUCCAUUCCCUUUCUGCUGACUUCCGUUAUUGGAAUCGAACGGAGCAUUUCAGUAUGCCCUGGCUGACUAUAAUGGGGUGACUGAACCUGGCCUCUCAGUAUUUGCACUGGAGUUGGUUGUUGCUCUCAAUAUUCGAGGUAACUGAAUAUUAAUAAAAGUCCCCUUACUUUAUAUUUUCACGGUAUACUCGUGUUAAAACAUGACACCGUAAGAGAGGAAAGGCUGGUACUCUUGAUUGUUGAUGGAAUGGAAAAUACUUCUGUGGUUGAAAUUCACAGUUGUCUAGAAGGUUGAGUAUGCUGAAUGCAUGCGUGGUUGUGUUAAUCUGAUUGUACGGAUAGAGGAUAUCUACCAACAGUUUAAAGAAGUAUUGGGAGUUGGCAAAUUGGGGGUUGUUUAGGAUUUCUAUGAUAACUAGGGAUCUAUCAACAGGGAUAAGAGAAAUAUCGAUGAGCGGCCAAGGGACAUUAGUGCGGAUUGCAGCAUAGCCUCACAAUUUGUAAGCGGGGUUGAACUGGAACUUCUCGAGCAUUCGAAAGGGCUUGCAGAGACACUAGCGAUAGAUGUUUCACAAUAAGUCAGAAGGACAGAUUGAGGAUCACAGCUUGCCGAAGUUCACGGUUUAGGAUUAAAGUAAUUAACAAUAAAGAUAAAAUAUAAAAUAUAAAAUAAAUAAAAUAAAAUAAAAAUAACCAAAGAAAUUGAAGUUAUAUAGGGUCUCUAGGCAUUUUAUAUUGGAAUUAAGCUUUUACAUUGCAAUCCGAUAUAGAUUGUAUUUGGGUAGUCAAGAACCUGAUAGACUGCUUGAGUACUAGUGAAACACCAUACUACCUCCUACAACCAGAUGCCCGAUGCGUUCUCAAGCAAGAUAGUACGUAAUACGAUAGCGUCCAACUUAUAAGACACAUGUCUAAUUUACAAUGCAAGUUUCUUAAGUGUGAGCCAUAUGUUUAAUUUAUACUACAGGUAGUCAACAUGUUGAUACGUGGCCUCCUUAUUGGCCAAGUUUUCAACCUACCAAUCACCUGUAGACAUGUAUAAAGUCAAAGCAGUGUCUUUGAAGCUUGUAGGAAGCUUUCCACAAGAUAUUAUCAUAUUUAUCUACUUUGACUCACUUCUACCUACUCUUAUUAUCUAGAUAAUUAUCAAGGUAAAUAUGUAUACAUGUCAGUGACAAUUGGUGGCUAAAUGUGCAUUAUGAAAUUAAAUAAAACUAUCAUUUAAUAUACAAAUGUCUCAAUUAUAAUUAUUAUCAAUUAUAGAUUUAUAUUAUAUAUGAAAUUUGGACUUUAAACAACUAUUACUAAUUUUAUCUUAAGUCAAUAAGUAUGUGUUGGUGAUGAUUGAGUACUUUUCUAAGUAGAUAGAAGUAAUGCUAUUAUCUAAUAAAUUUAGUAAAAGAAUUACUAAUACUUUUUCAGACAAAUUUUUGUCCUGAUUUGAGACUUUAAUAUAAGUUUUUAAUAACCAAAGAAGAAAAUUUCUUAAAGAAUUUGAAAUUAUAUAUGAAAAAGCAUGAAUUGAUUAUAAAAGAACUUUAAGGAAUUAUCCAAAAAUAAUUGGUUUGGAAAAUACAUAGUACAACUUAUAAAAAGAAUGCUUUAAAUAAUAUAAUUUAAAUAAGACCAUCAUAAAGCUUGAAACUUAUAAUUUUAUUCAUUAAUAAUGAAUUAUAGAUUUAUCAAGCAAGCUUCAUUAGCUUUAUUUUUAUCUUAUUUUUUAUUAUAUUACAAAGAUUAAGUGUUAUAUAAAGCUAUCAAAAGAAAUAUUGAUACCAUAUAGUUAUUAUAGAUUAUUCAAAUGUAUGAGCAUCAAUUUAUAAGAAAUAGGUAGACUUAUGCAAAUAGUUAAUGUCAAUUGCUAUCAAAAAUAUGAGUAUUGUGCAAUAUUGAAAUACUUUCAAGUAUAUUAUGAUUUGAAGUAGGAAUUACAAGCCAUAUAUAAAGAGUUUUUUUUAAGAAAUUAUGUCUACUUGCAACAAACUACAUCAACAACUUUAGAUGUAAUAAGAAGAUAUUUCAUUCUAUGUUUACAAGAGAUUUUCAAGUCAAGAGCAUUGAUACUAGAAGGUUGUAAUAGAAGGACUUAAAAGAAUUGUACAUGCAAUUGUGCACCAUUUUAUUUGCCACAUAUCAAUGGUAGAAUUAAGACUUAGUUGUCAUAUAUUGUCAAGAACAAGAACAAGAUAAAGACAAAUGAUAAGUGAGACUUUUCUCAAAGAAAGAUGAAAAAAUAGAAAUAACUUGAUAUAUACAUUAAGAAAGAAACUAGAAUGGCUAUUGCCAAAAGCCAAGAAAACCAAAGACCCUUGAAACUAGACUGGAAGCAAGAAAGCAGUUGACAAGAGUGAAGAAGGCUUCACUCUUAUCUCUACAUAUACUAUCUAACUAGAGGCUAUGUGGCAAUGUUCUAUAGGACCUCCAAUAUGUGUUGACUUUGUAAGACAUAUGCCUUGACUUACAAGGCAAGUUUUUUUACAUGUAGGCCACAUAAUUAGCUUGAUCUCUAAGCUAACAUGUGUAGCACAUGGCCAACUUGUUGACCACGUUUUUAAUCCAAAAAGUCAAUUAAAGACACCUAUAAAGUCAAAGCAACAUCUUUGAAGCUUCUAGGAAGCAUCUAUACCAAAUACUAUAGAAUUAAUUUACUUUUAUCUACUUUUAUUUACUUCUACCUAUUUAUAUAUAUAAUUACAGACUUACAUGAGUAUGUCCAUGACAUUACUCCUCCUUCUAGGGACGAGUUCCACAAGGAGCGGUCAUCAUAUGUUGAGAAAAUCUAUAAUGUGACAAAUUGUAUUUGCCACAUACUCUGAUCUUUGUUCUCUUUGAAGAUGAUUGAUAGGGCCUCUCAACCAUCGGUAGUGUCCCAUACCAGGGCAGUGUCGUAAUACAUGAAGUCUUGCUUGAAAAUGCUCCGAGCACCUAGCUGUGGAAGGAAGAAUGGAAAUUGCAAUAAUAAAAUCCUAAUUCUAAUAGAAUACUAACAAUGCUCUAAUUAGACUAUAAUAAUACUAAGCAAGCUUAAUCAAAUUCAAAAAAAUCUCAAAGAAAUUUCAAACAAACAAUAAAAAUUCUUAAAGAAAUAAUAGAAGGAUCACAAUUAUCACUCAAAUACAUCUCAAUUCAAUCUUAAUUUAAUUCUAGUUAAAAUCCUAUUAAAUUUCAUUAAAACUUUAGGCCAAACCUAAUUAAAUCUUAAAUCCUAAUAAAAUCCUAUUAAACUUCAUUAAAACUUUAGGCCAAACCUAAUUAAAUCUUAAAUCCUAAUAAAAUCCUAAACCGUAAAUCAAACCCUAAAUAAAUCUUAAACCAAAUCCUCAAUCAAAUCCUAAAUCAAAUCCUAAAUCCUAAAUCAAACCCUAACAAAAUCCUAAUCCAAAUCCUAAAUAAAAUCCUAACCAAACCCUAAUCCAAAUCCUAAAUAAAACCCUAACCAAAUCCUAAACCUAAUCCUAAAUCCUAACCAAACCCUAAACCAAAUCCUAACCAAAUCCUAAUACAAAUCCUAAAUCCUAAAUCCUAAAUCAAAUCCUAAAUCCUAAAUAAAACCCUAAUCAAAUCCUAAACCAAACCCUAAAUCCUAAAUAAAAUCUUAACUAAAUCCUAA
rnacentral:lncRNA from 1 species